CCGUUAGAACCCUUUCUACAUCUAUUUAUAAGAUUAACGGGUGCCAGUUAUGCCAUUACAAAUUAUCCCCUCAUCAGAUAUUUCGUUAAAAUUCAUUCUGAAACACUAAAACUAAAUAAUCGAACAUGGCUUUGCGGGUCGAUGAUGCCAGAAGCAAUUCGACUGCAAUUAUCACUUGUUUAGUUUCUGUGCUUGCCGUGGUUUACUUGGCAUGGAAUGUGAAAAAAUCAAGGAAAGCAAAUGCUAAACUGCCACCAGGACCUCCCGGCUUGCCUGUAGUCGGAUACCUCCCAUUUCUCGGAACUACUGACUUGCACAAGAAAUUCACGGAAUUAUCCGGAGUUUACGGUCCGAUCUUCAAGCUCUGGCUCGGAAAUAAAUUAUGUGUAGUGGUGAGCUCACCUUCCCUAAUUAGACAAGUGGUUCGUGAUCAAGAUACAACAUUCGCGAACCGUGACCCACCGAAGGCUGCACUAGUGGUCUCCUAUGGUGGCAAUGAUAUUGCAUGGUCCAAUUACGGUCCCGAAUGGAGAAAGUUGCGCAAAUUUUUUGUGGGCAAGAUGAUGAGUAACGCAAGCCUUGAUGCUUGUUAUGCUCUAAGAAAACAAGAGGUUAAAAAUACUAUCAGGGAUUUGUAUAACAACGACAACAAAAUUGGCAAGCCCAUUGACAUUGGUGAAUUGUCGUUUUCAACAUUGGUAUGUGCUAUACAGAACAUGCUGUGGGGUGAAGCGCUUGAAAUAAGAGAGAAAGGGACCACUAAUCUUGGGGCUGGGCUAAAAUUUAAGCUGGCAGAACUCAUGGUGCUUGCGGGAACACCGAAUAUUUCGGAUGUCUUUCCAAUGCUUUCAUGGCUUGACAUACAAGGUAUAGAGAGGAGAGCAAAGAAGAUUUCACUCUGGCUUGAAAAUGUUAUAAAUUCUACUGUUGAACAGCAUAGAAACAAGGAGUCAACUGUUGAAGGUGAAGAAAGAGCGGGGAAAAAUUUUGAAGGAUCAAGGAACAAGAACUUCUUGCAGUUACUAUUGGAGCUUCAAGAAAAUGAUGACAGUGCUUCCUCAAUUAGCAUGAACCAAUUCAAGGCCGUACUCAUGGUAUGUUAAGUAACUAGCAACGAACAGUUAUACAAGCACAGUUGUAUAUUUGCAUGAGUGAUAUUUUCAACCUUUUUUUUUAAUUAGAAUUUUAUUGUCACCUUUUGGACAGGAUAUAAUUACGGCUGGAACCGACACCACAGCUACGAUGGUGGAAUGGACAAUGGCAGAGUUGAUGCAGCAUCCACAAGUAAUGAAGAACGUUCAGGAAGAAUUAGCUCAAGUUGUGGGCAUGGACAGUUGUGUUGAAGAAUUUCACCUGUCUAGAUUAAAGUAUUUAGAUGCUGUGGUGAAGGAAACAUUUCGUCUGCAUCCUGCAGUGCCUUUAUUAGUACCACGCAGAGCAAGCGAGAGUGGCAGCAUUGGUGGCUAUACCAUUCCCAAAGAUACAACUCUUAUGUUGAAUGUUUGGGCUAUCCACAGGGACCCUCACCUUUGGGAUAAUCCCUUAGAAUUUCGACCCGAGAGGUUUCUGAAUGUUGGUGUCGAGAGUAAGUUCGAUUACUCAGGUAACAAUUUUCAGUACUUGCCAUUUGGUUCUGGUAGAAGAAUGUGUGCUGGGAUUCCUCUAGCUGAGAGGAUGCUGAUGUUUGUUUUGGCUUCGUUAUUGCACUCAUUUGAGUGGGAAUUGCCAGCUGGCACAAAGCUAAACUUAUCUGAAAAAUUUGGGAUUGUCAUUAAGAAAAAAGAGCCUUUGGUUGCUAUUCCAACACCAAGACUAUCCAAUUCAGAGCUCUACCAUUAAGACAAAAUGGUUGUGAUGAUUUUGUUAAUUUUCCGAAGAUUUGUAUGUUAUUUAGUUCAAUCGUAAUAAAAUAUUUCAAAUAAGAGUCCUCCGUUGCUUUUUUUUUUUUUUUUUUUUCAACGGCAUAAUCUGUCGUCAUGCUUGUAUUUGGAGCUACUUUGGAAUAAUUAUGUUUGAAUUACAAUUUAUAAAUAUUUACGUUUUAAAUUUUUUAUAAGAGUCUAAAUUUAUACACGUUUAAUAUCCCGCUUCAUAGAUAUUUAACACAAUUUAUAUCAUACAUUGUAUACCCAUUUGUCAUAAAUUAUACUAUUUUGUAUCUCUAAAUAAUAUUACGUAUUGAUAUUAUAAUAUAUAUAUAUAUGUUUAUCAAAAGACUAUACCAUUCAAUAUAUAUUGAAAAGAGAACAAAGAAGAUUUUCUUAUGGUUUAAAAAUAUUAUGAAUUCUGCUGUUGAACAGUAUGGAAACAAGGUCUCUGUUGUUAAAGGUGAAGAAGCAACAGGGAACAAUAUUGAAGGAAGAAAUUUCACAUGUUUAGUUGCUGAAUUUGCCGCUGUAUUCUAUCGGUAGUAGAGUUUUUAUUUUUCUCUAUUAAUUUAAGUCAAUUUUCUAUAACAAAUUCGGUUGAGUUUAAUUGUGUUAUAAUAUAAAUUGAAUGAUAAUAGAAUUUUCAACAAAUAUUUCAAUAUUUCUAUCUCGAUUGUUGAAGUGCCAUUUAUUUGUUAUGCGAUCGAUUUUAAAAUUUAUAAAAUUAUUUGUUACUAAAUUGCAUCAUAUGCUAAAAUCACCUGAAACCUAAUUCCAUAACUAACCCUUUAUUUUUAGUUCUCAAGAAAUCUUGUAAGAACAAAAAUCUUUUAUAACAAAACUUUUACAACACAUUAAUUUGUAACUCAUUCCUGUGCGCGAAUCACUCUCAAUUUCCUUCAAUUGCUGUUUAACAAUCAUCUACUUAUCAAAAUUCAAGCAUAAUCUUUUUUUUUUAAUUUCUUCAUCAUUCUUUAAAAAAAAAAUCAGGAUAUGCUGUUAAAUUUUGAAAUAAAUAAAUUAACCAAAGUUGGUUGAUGUGAGUGGUUCAAUGAUGAGCAUAAUUUAUAUACAUAUUUUACCUUUAAUUAUAUAAUUAUUAGUUAUUUUUAUUAGUUAUUUUUAAUUAAUUGAAUUAUUUUAUUGCAUAGAGAAUUAAUUGGAGAUUGGGAAACAAAAAGUGCAUAAAGAAUAACAAGUUUGGGAAAGCAUCAAUCAAAGCCGUGACGCAAUUAAGAGUUUAUAGCAUAUGAAGCCAAGAGUAAUUUGCACUCAAAAAGAAUUUCAAUUAUUCAAGUGACCUGGACCUGCAUGGCAUUGUAAUGCAUGGAAAGCAACUUAAAGGGGCCCACACUUGGCUUUUACAAUUGGAAAAAGGAAUCCUAGUGCAAGCUUAAUUGAUGAGCACGUGAGUGAGAGCAAAGAAAAUUAAAAGGCCAAGCCUUUUGGCUUAAGGAAAUAACAAGGUCGGUGGGGCCCAUUUUAAAGAGUAAUAUAAAAGCAAGCUUUUGGCUUUUGGAGAGAGGAGCCGCGAGAGGAGGAAAACGCAAGACAAAGAGAAGAAAAUCUGCAGCAGUUCGGCUUCUAUGGUUGGUUUUAUCUCUUUUGUUACUCUUAAUUCAAAUAUGUCUAGUUAAUUUUCUUAUAUUAAAGUUAAGGAUGAAACCCUAUUCAAUGAAAUAAUUAUCUUUUUAUUUAUUUAAUUCCCAUAUAUGUUCUUUAAUGAUUAUGAUUUUUAUUUCACAUGAUUAAUUGGAUGUUAUUAAAAUUUUUUCAUCAAUUCUGUCAUGCAUUAUUGAUUGUUAGGAUUAAUAUUCAAUUAAAUCUAUACUUAGAUUUAUAACGUUUAUACAUGAUUAUCUUUGAUUCUAUGUCUUUCAUUAAAUUGUUUACAUGGAGUGCUUAGGAAAACUUUGACUCUUUGUUAUUCAAUAUGUUCACAUGGGAUACUUAGAUGUCAUACUAUUAAGCGGAAAAAGAACCUAUAUUAGAUUUAAUUAUUUGGGCUUAAUUGUUAUAUCCAUGAGAUGACACAAAUUGAUUUCGAGUUGUCACUCUAAAAUUAGAGAUUAAUGAAUAUUUAGAUAAUUACUAGUUGAAUAGCGGUGGAUUCUGAAACCUUGGUAAUUUCUAUCUUAUUGAAUUCUCCUUUACUUUAAUUGUUUUCUUAGUUUAAUUAAUUUAAUUUCUUUUAAAACUCAAUUUGCUUAACUAGGUUAGAAUUAAUAUUAAUUUUAGAUUUAAAUUAGACUUUUCAAUUUAUAACAAUCCAUGUGGGAUCGACCUCGUUACCACUACUUUAUUUCUAGAUUCGUGCACUUGCGAGUAUAUUAAAAUUUUCACAACAAGUUUUUGGCGCCGUUGCCGGGGAUUGUGCCAGAAAGUCAGUUUAAUCUAGGUUGAUUUGAUUCUUCCACUAGUUAUAAUUUAUGUUGUCUUUUAUUUUAUUAUUAUUUUUAAUUAACAAAAACACACAAAAAAACUUUUAUUUUUCUUUAAAUUCAUUGUUUGGUUGUUUGAUUUCUUUUAUUUUUUAAAUUUUGUUUAUUCUCAUUAUUGUUGGUUUAUUUUAUUUUAUUUUUUUCUUUCCUUGUCUAGUUAGUUUAUGAGUGUUUGGGAAUGUGAUUCAACAAAUCGUUUGGUAAAAGAGAGUCAAAAAUUGAUAGUAGUCAAGUUAGUUCUUCUGAAGUCAUGGAUGACCCAAAUAGAUUAUUGCCAAUACUUCCACCAGUGCAAGCAGAGAAAACCCUUAGAGAAUAUUUUUCACCACUUGCAGCCAACCAACCAUCUUGUAUUGUGUUGCCACAAACUACAGCAACACACUUUGAACUUUUUGAACUUAAGCCCUCAGUCAUCCAACUUUUACCAUCUUUCCAUGGGUUAGAGAGAGAGGAUCCAUAUUUGCACAUUAAGGAAUUUCUUGACAUAUGCUCUACAUUCCGUUUUCAAAAUUUUAAUGAUGAGUUAAUCAGGCUUCGUAUGUUAUCUUUCUCAUUAAAAGACAAAGCAAAAGCUUGGUUGAAUUCGCUUUCUGCUGGGUCUAUAACUACGUGGGAUGAAUUGAAUAAUAAGUUCCUCACCAAGUUUUUCCCUAUGUCUAAAACAAAUGCCCUUAGGAGAGAGAUAAGUGAUUUCUAUUAAAGAGAGGGUGAGCAAUUUUAUGAGUGUUGGGAAAGAUUCAAUGAUUUACUCCUCAAGUGCCCCCACCAUGGUUUUGAGAAAUGGAGACUUAUACAAUGCUUUUAUAACGGUUUAACCAUGUCGAAUCGUCAUAUGGUAGAGUCUAUGAAUGGUGGGAGAUUUUUGAACCUACAUGAAGGGGCUGCAUGGGAUUUCUUUAAUUCACUUUCUGAGAAUUCUCAACAGUGAGAUUUUUCAAGCCAAAGGGAAAAAUCAUCUCAAGUUUCUAGAAAGGGGUUAUAUGAAGUUAAGGAUGAUUUUGAUGUGAAAUCCACUCUAAUUACACUUUCUAGAAAAGUAGAUGCCUUAGCUCUGAACCAAUCAAUGAAUCAUCAUCCUAGUGUAGCUAAUGAGGUUUGUGCUAUUUGUUCUAACUUGUCUCAAACAGCACAAAACUGUCCAUCAUUACCAGUCUAUCCAGAGGCUUAUUCUGAGCAGGUACAUGCCUUACAAUCAUAUGAGAAAACCUCCAAUAAUACAUAUUCACUCACAUAUAAUCCUAAUUGGAGGAAUCACCCUAAUUUUUCUUGGAAACAAAAUCAAUCUUUGUCAAACCAAGGAGGACAACAAUUUAACAUGCCCAAUCAACAAUUUGUCCCUCCUAACCAAGUAUAUCCUCCUGCCCAACAACCUAUAUCUCAAUUUGUUACACCCCAACAAAGAAAACCUUCUUUAGAGGAUACACUUCAAAGUUUCAUUCAGUCAACCUAAUAAGCUUUUCAGUCAAACACUCAAGCUAUUCUAAAGCUUGAACAUCAAUUGGGUCAAUUAGCAACUACUGUAGCGGAGAAAGAAAAAAGAAAAUUCCCCAGUCAAUCAAUUCCUAAUCCUAAAGGAGUGCAUGAAGUUGGAUCGAGUUCAAGCCAUCAGCAUGAAGAAGCAAAAUCAAUUAUGACCUUGAGAAGAGGAAAAUUGUUUGACAACAAAGUGGAGGUUCAAACAAAGAAGACAUCUGAGCCUACUUCUUCAGAUCCAAUUACAUCACAAGAAUCAUCACCAAAUGAUCUUGAAGAGAGUGACCCGCUAGCUUACAUUCCCAAGGCUCAUUUUCCUCAAAGGUUAACAAAGGUAAAGAAAGGGACUUCAACAUGUGAGAUUAUAGAAAUCUUCAAGCAGGUAAGUAUAAACAUCCAUUUACUCGAUGCUAUUAAGCAAGUUCCUUCCUAUGCCAAGUUUUUGAAAGAUUUAUGCACUAAAAAGAGAAAUUUGCAUGUCACUAAAAAGGCGUUUUUAACUGAACAAACUAGCAAUUUACUUCAAUGUAAAAUGCCACCAAAAUUUAAGGAUCCUGGUUCUCCUACUAUUUCAUGUGUUAUAGGGAACCAAUGUUUUGAUAAAGCAUUAUUGGAUUUAGGUGCUAGUGUUAAUCUCUUACCUUAUUCCAUUUACAUGCAGCUUGGACUAGGUGAGUUAAAAUCAACUCCUAUUAUUUUGCAACUUGCUGAUAGGUCAAUGAAAAUACCUCGUGGUAUUAUAGAGGAUGUGUUGAUACAGAUUGACAAAUUUUAUUAUCCUGUUGAUUUUAUUGUUAUUGAUACUCAACAUGUACAUGAUCUUAAGAAACACACUCCACUUAUUCUUGGUCGUCCUUUCUUAGCUACAGCUGAUGCUCAUAUUAGUUGCAGGACUUGAAACAUGCAAUUGUCUUUUGGUAACAUGACCAUGGAAUUAAAUAUUUUUAAUGUUCCCAAGCAGGCACAAGAAGAUGAUGAAGUCGUUGAAGUAGAUAUGAUAGAAGCAUCAAUUGAUGACUCACUUAUUUCUAACCAUUGUGACAAUCCAUUAAUACCUUGCACAACUGACUCUGAUUUCUCUAUUGAUGUUGAUAGUGAUAUUGAAGAAGUUAAUGCUUUACUUGAUUCGACUCUUAUCAUAGAUCUAAUUAAGUGGAAAGAAAAGAUAAGAUUGAGCCACUUCCUCCUGAAGAGAAAAGUGCAACAUAGGUCACAUUCUGACAUAAAAAAGGUGGUAAGAUCUAAAACGCUUAAAUUAUUAGAUUUUUAUACUACUUUAGAUAACUCUCAGGAAAGCUUAGAACAGAAGAGAUCAAAGCAAUGCGAUAUUGAGGAGUUUCAUUACCAUCAUCCUUUUAUGGAUAAAAUGCUCCAGUGCUUAAUCAAUUAUGCUUUUUGGUAUUUUCUAUAUAAUUGCUUUAAUUUUCACCAAAUUCUUAUUGAUCCUGGUUGAUUUGUUGUUUACAUUAAUUAGUUAGUUAGUCGGAUUUUUUUAUUAUUAUUUAUAUUUCUUCUAACGUUUUCUUUUGAGUUGUCAUUCUUUUAAGUUUUCCUAGCUCAGUCAGGUGUGUUCUCUCCAACUUUCUCUUUUAUUAUUUAUGUUUUUAUUUUUCAUCUUUUUGCGUGCAUAUCUUUUAUUUAUGACACAUUGAGGACAAUGUUCCGAAUAAGUUUGGGGGUGGGAAUAAUGUUGCUUUGUUUGUUAAAAAAAACUAAAAAAAAAUUUCAAAAAUUCAAAAAAAAAUUGUGUUUUUUUUGUUUUUACGUGAAAAGCCAAUGAUAAAAACUUGAUUGACAAUGAAUAUGGUUUUUAGAAAGGGUUUAAUAUUGUCUUAAUUUAUACUUGAUUCUUAUGUUAGUUCCUCUUGAUUGAGAUUCUUUAAAAUAUAAGCACUAAUAUCAAUUCUUUCAUAAUUUUGACUUGAAAUUUGAGAUUGACGCAGCCUGAGUUGAGAAUUUUAGAUAGAGUAAAUGACUGUUUGUCUUUAUUCUUAUCUCCACAAUACAAAAUAGUAUACACAGGCACCAAAGUCAGAAAUAACUACCUAUAAUCCUUAAGAGUGAAGCUAUCCUUGAGUAAUUUAGGCCUAUGUACCACAAGUAUGUAGAGGAUAAUCUACCAUGAGAAGAAUGCUACCUUAAGGGGUAGAGUGAAAGCUCCUGACUAUGGUUAAAAAAAAAAGAAGAAGAAAAAGAGAAAGAAAAAAUCAAAUCAAGUGCAUGUGCUGAAAAAAAAAUCAAAAGAAAAUGCACAUAAAAGCCUGUGAAAAAAAAAUUGGAGAUUAAGAUGAUAAGAUUAGCUUGACCUACUCUUUUCUUUUUUUGAGGCGAAGGUUGUUGAUAUUGAAGAUUUUAGGAAUGAAUUUGAUUGAAUUGAUUUCACACACACACAACAAGAAUCGAAAGAGAGAUGGGAUUGAUUAUUGAAUUAAAGUUAGAACUUUGCCAAUAUUUGAAAUUUUGUUUGAGCUAUAUAAUUUAUGCAAUCUUUGAGGGUAUUUUCAUAUUUUAUUUAAAGUUUUUUUUUCUUUUUAUUUUAUUUUAUUUAUUUUUUAUUUUUUUAAAAUGAUGUUUGUGGGUGUCAUCACUGAAGCUCUCACGAGACUAUAACUCGUCCACUAGGGGUUUAAAGGCUUGUUGCAUACGCUAAAUGCAAUCGCGAUUACCUGCGAAAAUGGUUUAGUUAGGAUUUACUUUUUGUUUUGUUAUUUUUUUUUUUUUUUUUAGUUUUAGCUUUGCUCGAGGACUAGCAAAAUCUAAGUUUGGGGGUAUUUGAUGAGCAUAAUUUAUAUACAUAUUUUACCUUUAAUUAUAUAAUUAUUAGUUAUCUUUAUUAGUUAUUUUUAAUUAAUUGAAUUAUUUUAUUGCAUAGGGAAUUAAUUGGAGAUUGGGAAACAAAAAGUGCAUAAAGAAUAACAAGUUUGGGAAAGCAUCAAUCAAAGCCAUGACACAAUUAAGAGUUUAUAGCAUAUGAAGGCAAGAGUAAUUUGCACUAAAAAAGAAUUUCAAUUAUUCAAGUGAUCUGGACGUGCAUAGUAUUGUAAUGCAUGGAAAGCAACUUAAAGGGGCCCACACUUGGCUUUUACAAUUGGAAAAAGGAAUCCUAGUGCAAGCUUAAUUGGUGAGCACGUGAGUGAGAGCAAAGAAAAUUAAAAGGCCAAGCCUUUUGGCUUAAGGAAAUAACAAGGUCGGUGGGGCCCAUUUUAAAGAGUAAUAUAAAAGCAAGCUUUUGGCUUUUGGAGAGAGAAGCCGCCAGAGGAGGAAAACGCGAGACAAAGAGAAGAAAAUAUGCCGCAGUUCGACUUCUAUGGUUGGUUUUAUCUCUUUUGUUACUCUUAAUUCAAGUAUGUCUAGCUAAUUUUCUUAUAUUGAAGUUAAGGAUGAAAUCAUAUUCAAUGAAAUAAUUAUCUUUUUAUUUAUUUAAUUCCCAUAUAUGUUCUUUAAUGAUUAUGAUUUUUAUUUCACAUGAUUAAUUGGAUGUUAUUAAAAUCUUUUCAUCAAUUCUGUCAUAUAUUAUUGAUUGUUAUGAUUAAUAUUAAAUUAAAUCUAUACUUGGAUUUAUAAAGUUUAUACAUGAUUAUCUUUGAUUCUAUGUCUUUCAUUAAAUUGUUUACAUGGAGUGCCUAGGAAAACUUUGACUCUUUGUUAUUCAAUAUGUUCACAUGGGAUACUUAGAUGUCGUACUAUUAAGCGGAAAAAGAACCUAUAUUAGAUUUAAUUAUUUGGGCUUAAUUGUUAUAUCCAUGAGAUGACAUAGAUUGAUUUCGAGUUGUCACUCUAAAAUUGGGGAUUAAUGAAUAUUUAGAUAAUUACUAGUUGAAUAGUGGUGGAUUCUGAAACCUUGGUAAUUUCUAUCUUAUUGAAUUCUCCUUUACUUUAAUUGUUUUCUUAGUUUAAUUAGUUUAAUUUCUCUUAAAACUCAAUUCGCUCAACUAGGUUAGAAUUAAUAUUAAUUUUAGAUUUAAAUUAGACUUUUCAAUUUAUAACAAUCCCUGUGGGAUCGACCUCGUUACCACUACUCUAUUUCUAGAUUCGUGCGCUUGCGAGUAUAUUAAAAUUUUCACAACAUUCGGCACUCUCACUCCUUAAGAGAGGUCAGGGGUUCAAGCCUCGCUCUCGUAUGGAGUCACCACUUUGACCAGCACUUUACCCCUUACAGACCGACCCGGUGCGAGCAUGAAUUAGUCUGGGUUGUGGUACGGGCUUAAAGGUGCCUCCCACAAUUGAGACCCACUCAGGACCACCUCGUGGUUCGGACAAAAAAAAAAUUGAAAUAAAUUAUCUCAAAAUAAUUACUAACCAGAAAAAACAAAGGGGUUUAACUAGGUUAUGCAUACCUUUGAAAAUUAUAUGUUGAUCGAUAAGCAUGAUGAUCACGAUUGAGGAGUUUAAUUAAAAUUUAUAAGAUUUUAAAAUUAAUCAGGGUUAAAUUCUAAAUUUUAGAAAGAGAGGUUUUGUGAGAAUGCUGAAAGGGUGUUAAUAGUUCCACUCUUUUUUAAAAAAACCAUAGUCAUCAUUUUUCCCGAUUUCUUCUUCCCAUCUCCAUCUUAUUUAGAAAUUUCCCAGAGCCUUUGUUUCCCACCAUUCAUUUUUCUUCUUUCUAAUUUAAGAUUAUAGUAUUAUAAAAAUAAUUACUCACAUUUUAUCAAACACCUCCAUUAUACCAAGGCCUUGUUUUAGUAGUAGGCUUUUAUUAUCUCAAUAAAAUUGAAAAAACAAAGCUCAAUAAUAUUGGAAAAAAAACCUACCCAUAUUUGUAACUUUAAUUUAUUAUUCUCCAUAGACCUACUUUUUAGCUUUGAAUUUUGUUGGAGCCAUAUAUAAACAGAAUAUGUUGAAAUCAGCACAAAAAAAAAACUAAUUAUAUAAUUUUUGUUCCCAAGGACACGACUGUGUGAUUUUUAAGAAGUUUUGUUUGGCUGGCCACUUAGGUUUAAAUCUUGGUGGAGAUUAGGGGUUAAGAAAUAAAUUUGGACUUUGCACACCCCUUUAACUUUUAAAAAGAAUGAAAAAAACUAAUUAAUUAAUCUUUAUUUUAUUUAUUAAAUGUCAUAAUCAUAUGCAUAUUUUAUUUGUUAUCUUUCUAUUUAAAAGAUAGGAGGGCAAAUAAAACUGAAAUAAAUGUUUAUCCCUAUCUCCAUCUUUCAAGUUCCAUAGUUAGGUGACCAGCUAAAGAAAAUUAAUUGAAAGUUACUCCAUCAAAUUAAAAAAAAUUAUUUAUUUAAUUUGUGGAGAUGUAGAAAAUCAAACCCCAUACCUUUUCGCAUGCAAAAGUGUCAACCUGGUCUAGCUAUGUUGCAACAGUAAACAUAUUUUAAUACAUGACUAUCAUCUUUUAUCCUAAAUACUACUAUAACUAUGGGUUCAGUUAUGCUGUAACUGUGGUAUGGUACCACAGUUGUUUUCAACCAUUAAAUUCAACUUAUAUAACUAUGCAACUGUAGAUCUAACGGCUGAAAGCAACUAUGGUACCAUACCACAGUUGCAACAUAGUUUUGCCCCUAUAACUCAUAACAUUCAAUUGAAAUAAUAAAUGUUAACACUUGGCUAUAAAUAAAGGUUUUGUACUUGAAUCUUCAUGCAUGACCUUCAUUCCUUUAUUGACUUUGCUAACACAGAUUUUGAGGCAUUAAAACUAAAUAAUAAUUGACUUUGUGGGCCGAGGAUGCCAGCAACAAGGAGACCACAAUUAUCACUAGUUAAGUUACUCUAAUUGCCGUUGUCUUAUAUUCAUAAAAUAUUAGUAAUAAGAUUAUUGUAGAAUUUUUUUAUAUUAAAAUUAAGUCAAUUUGUUAUAACAAAUUUAGUUGAGUUUAAUCGUGUUACUACAUACAUUGAAUAAUAAUAGAAUUCUCGACAAAUAUUUCAAUAUUUUUAUCCCAAGCGUUGGAGUGGCAUUUAUUUGUUAGACAAUCGAUUUUAGAACUUAUAAAAUUAUUCGUUACUGAAUUGCACCAUAUGCUGCAUGACCUGAAACUUAAUAAACGGAACGUAGCGUUGGCAACAUUCACUGUCAUGACUUUGUGACAUUAGAAUUAAAUUUUUUUGCACAUUUAAUUUGUUUACUUCCAAAUUAAUAUUUAACAAAAUAUUUUUUCACAUUAUCAAUGGACAAAACUCCAACGAAAAUAACUAUACAAUAUAUGCUAGUAUUGUAUGCCAUAUCAUCUGUAAUUUUGUCAGGAUCGAUCAUUUUAAUUUUUAAGCAAAACUUUUUAUCAAUGGACAAACACCUCACACAGCUUGUCAGAGGCAUUAUUAUGAUGGAAAACUGAUAAACAGUGAACUCGAAACUCAAUUACUACAAGUCGUUUAGAGGAUUCAGUCUUGGAUGACUUGUCACUUGUGGAAUUCUUGAAGCCAGAACCGACAUAAUCUCAGUCGUCAUUCUGUCUUAAGUAAUACACAUGGUUUGCAUGUGUGUUGAAGCUGACUCUUUGCUUGGAUCAAGAAACGACGUCUUUGAGUGCCGUUUCUUAAACACACUUUAAAUCAGCUUGUGUCAAGCACGUGAGGUAGAGCUUUUUGAAUAGAUUUGGCGGGAAUGGUAGUUAGUGUAACAACCCAGAAAUAGAGGUUAAAAGGUGAAGGCUUUGUCAUCAUCUACACAUGAUUUGGGAAACAUUGAGAGUAGAGAAAAAGAUAGAGAGAGAAAGGGGUUAACAAGUUCUUGUUCUCUGUAAAUCGAUUUAUAUUCUUGUAAAGUUUGUGAUCUCAAUUAGUGAAAGACUGUUGCUUUGUUUCCAGUGGAUGUAGGCACCACUUCUUGGUGCUGAACCACUUAUACUUGGUGUCAUAUUGUUUCUUUAAUGCUUUGAUUCUUGCGUGUGAUUGUUGCUGGAUAAUCUGUGCUGUUAAUUCUCAAACCAUUGAUACAGAAUUAAUGUCUUGGGGAGAAUUUGGUUAGUCUUAUCAAAGCCGAAUUCACAACAAAUUGGUAUCAGAGCCCUCUUUUCUGUAUCAAGGUUCAAGAAAUGACUAACAAGGUGGAUCUUGAGAAGUUCAAUGGUCAGAAUGAUUUCAAUAUGUGGAGGAUCAAGAUGGAAGCAUUGUUAAUCACACAAGGUCUGGGAGAUGCCAUUGAUCCAGUCAUUAAGAGUGAAAAUGCAGAAGCCUAUUCUUCAAGAACUCCAGAACAGAUGGCUAAGAUUGAAAAAAAGGCAAGAAGCACCAUCAUCCUCAGUCUUGGUGACUUAGUGAUAAGGGAAGUUGCCAAGAAAAAGACUGUUGCUAGGCUCUGGGCAAAACUGGAACAAUUGUAUAUGACAAAGUCCUUAGCAAACAGGCUAUACAUCAAGAAAAAGAUGUUCUCACUGAGGAUGAUUGAAGGAGCAUCACUUGAUGAACACAUAGAUGAGUUUAAUAAAGUUUGUGAUGAACUGGAAACAAUUGAUGAAGGACUGAGUGAUGAGAGCAAGGCUUUGCUGUUAAUCAGUUCUUCACCAAAAUCAUAUGAACAUUUUGUGGAUGCCUUGUUAUAUGGAAGGCAAUCACUCUCCUUGGAAGAGGUUAAAUCUACUCUUGGUACCAAGAAGUUAAAAGAAAAACAAGAUAACUCAGAGAGUGAAUCAAGUGAAGGGCUGAUGGCAAGGGGCAGAUCUGAAAAAAAGGAGUACAAAGGAAAAAAACAAGGGAGAUCAAAGUCAAAGCAGAAACAUUUGAAGUGUUUUCACUGCCACAAAGAAGGGCAUUUCAAGAGGGAUUGCCCUGAGAGAAAAACAAAGCAAAAGGAAUCAAAAGACAAAUCUGGAAAUACAGCAAUAGCCACAGAAGAAACCAGUUUUGAGAUAGCUGAAGUCCUCAUUGCCACAAAAGAAAAAAACUCAAGGUCAGUGGGUACUAGACUCUGGAUGUACUUUUCAUAUGAGUCCAAAUAGAAAUUACUUUACUACAUAUCAGUCCUGUGAUGGGGGUAUGGUGCUGAUGGGAAAUAAUUCAGUUUGUAAAGCAGUUGGGAUUGGGACUGUAAGCCUUAAGAUGUAUGAUGGCAUGGUUAGAGAACUAACUCAGUUUAGGCAUGUUCCUGAGCUUAAAAGGAACCUAAUAUCUAUUGGCAUGCUUGAUCAAACUGGAUGUGUCAAUAAGGCUGAAAAUGGGUCAUUGAAAGUUAUCAGAGGCUCAAUAGUCAUAAUGAAAAGUUCCAAGCAAAAUGGUUUGUAUGUGUUGAAUGGACAUACAACUGUUGGAGAGGCAAGUGUCACUGAGAAGAGUGAAGACAAAGCAAGACUAUGGCACUUGAGGUUGGGGCAUAUGAGUGAAAGGGGAUUGAAGGAGCUUCAAAAGAAUGGGGUGUUUGGAAGUGACAAGCUAAGUUCUUUGGGGUUCUGUGAAGACUGUAUCCUAGGGAAGGCUUCCAAUCUCAAGUUUGAAUCUGCAGUUCAUUCUACCAAAGAGAAGCUUGCAUAUAUACACUCUGAUAUGUGGGGGCCUGCACAGGUAAAUUCUCUUGGUGGCUUUAAGUAUUUCUUAUCCUUAAUAGAUGACUAUUCAAGGAUGGUUUGGGUGUAUGUACUCAAAACCAAAGAUGAAGCUUUGGAAAAGUUUUAGAGGUGGAAAAUUCUGGUAGAAACACAGACAAGUUUGAAAGUAAAAGCUCUAAGAACAGAUAAUGAAUUGGAAUUCUGCAACAAAGAGUUUGGAGACUUUUGUAAAAGACAUGAGAUUAUGAGGCACAAAACAGUCAUACACACACCUCAGCAAAAUGGUUUUGCUGAGAGAAUGAACAGAACCUUAAUGGACAAGGUGAGGUGUAUACUGCUAUACUCAAAGCUGCCUAAGUCACUCUGGGCAGAGGCCUUAAACACAGCAUGUUACUUGGUAAAUAUAAGUCCAUCUACAGCAAUAGAAUGCAAAACACCUAUCGAGCUAUGGUCUGGAAGGGUUGCAGAUUACUUUAAACUGAGAAUCUUUGGAUGUGUUGCUUAUGCAUAUGUCAAACAAGGCAAAUUGGAGCCAAGAGCUUUAAGGUGUAGAUUUCUAGGAUACCCUGAUGGAGUUAAAGGCUAUAGGCUAUGGUGCAUUGAUUUGAAGCCACCAAAAUGCAUUAUCAGCAGGGAUGUAACUUUCAAUGAGUCAGAAAUCUUGAACAAAUCCAAAACCACUUAAUCCAAAGAUCAUAUAUCAGAAACAAGACCUGGGAGUGUUCAGUUUGAGGUGGAGUCCUAUGAACAAGAUAGGACUGAAUCAGAAACUGAAGGAGAUUCAGGAAGGGUUACUGAUGGAUUUGAUGUUGUUCAGGAGUCAGAGCCAGCUGAGAAUGAAGAUAAUUCUUAUCAGUUGGUCAGGGAUAGAAAGAAGAGAGCUGUAAGACCACCUAAGAGGUAUACAAUAGCAGAUUUCAUAGCUUAUACAUUAACAGUUGCACAAGAGGUAAAUGAGGAAGAGCUAAGAACCUAUAAAGAAGCUAUAAACAGCAUGGAUAAGAUGAAAUGGAAGGAGGCUAUGGAUGAGGAAAUUGAAUCACUAAUGAAAAAUGGAACUUGGAAGCUGAUAGUUAGACUAGAAAAAAGGAAGACUGUUAGCUGCAAAUGGAUCUUCAAAGUUAAGGAAGGUAUAUCUGAUGCUGAACCUAGUAGGUUUAAAGCUAGGCUGGUAGCAAGAGGCUUCACACAAAGAGAGGGGAUUGAUUUCCAUGAAAUCUUCUCUCUAGUUGUGAAACAUGCCUCCAUCAGAGUCAUCUUAGCUUUAGUUGCCAUUCAAGACAUGUACCUGGAGCAUAUGGAUGUUAAAACAGCCUUCCUGCAUGGUGAAUUACAAGAAGAAAUUGUAAUGGAACAGCCUGGGGGGUAUGUGGUGUCUAGUAAGGAAAAUCAUGUGUGCUUACUAAAGAAAUAUUUAUAUGGAUUAAAGCAGUCUCCUAGGCAAUGGUACUUGAAGUUUGAUAGUUUUAUGACAAAACAUGCCUACAAGAAAUGCAAUUAUGAUUGUUGCGUGUACUUUAGGGACAUUGGUGAUGGAAAGAUGAUUUAUCUUAUGCUGUAUAUGGAUGACAUGCUUAUAGCAUGUCACAGCAUAGAUGAAAUCAGUCAUUUAAAGAAUCUCUUGAGCAGUGAAUUCGAUAUGAAAGAUCUUGGAGCUGUAAGGAAGAUCUUAGGUAUGGAAAUUAUCAGAGACAGGAGAAGGAAGCUUAUGUUUUUAACCCAACAGAGCUAUGUUAAGAAGGUGUUGCUUAGAUUUGGGAUGCAUGAAUCCAAGUCUGUUCAAACACCUUUGGCAAAUCACUUCAAGCUGUCUGCUGCACAUUGUCCACAAACUGAUGCAGAGCAAGGAAAAAUGGCAAGGAUACCUUACUCCAGUGCAGUUGGGAGCCUCAUGUAUGCCAUGGUUCUCACUAGACAUGAUAUCUCACAUGCUGUGAGUAUAGUGAGUAGAUUCAUGGCAAAUCCAGGUUAUGAGCAUUGGAGGGCAGUCCAGUGGAUAAUGAGGUACCUGAAAGGCACUAUGGAGUUUGGUCUGCUAUAUGGAGGGUUAAAACAGGAAGGGCACAAGCUGGUGGGGUAUGUUGACUCAGACUUCGCUGGAGAUCUUGAUAAAAGGAGGUCUCAGACAUGUUUUAUAUUCACUUUGGGAGGCUGCACUGUGAACUGGAAAGCUACUCUGCAAAGUGUGGUAGCUUUGUCCACAACUGAAGCCGAAUAUACAGCAGCUGCAGAAGCUUUUAAGGAAGUCAUCUGGUUAAAAGGAAUGGUCUCAGAGUUAGGAGCAAAACAAGAAACAGUUGAAGUAUACUGUGAUAGCCAGAGUGCAAUACAUUUGAGUAAAAACCAGACCCAUCAUGAAGGAACAAAACAUAUUGAUGUAAAGCUUCAUUUUGUAAGACUUGAAGUUUCAAAGGGAACUGUGAAGAUGCUCGAGGUUCACACUGAUCAAAAUCCAACCGAUAUGUUGACUAAAGCUGUGCCUUCUGCCAAGCUCAACUUCUGUUUGAGCUUAGCAGGAAUUUGCAGUUUCUGAUCAGCUGCAAAAGAAAGGGAAUAAAGUAUACAGGAGUAGCUAGAGUUCAGAGUUCACACUGAUUAAAAGGUGCAGGCUUUGUCAUCGUCUACACAUGAUUUGGGAAACACAGAGAGUAGAGAAAAAGAUAGAGAGAGAAAGGGGUUAACAAGUUCUUGUUCUCUGUAAAUCGAUUUCUAUUCUUGUAAAGUUUGUGAUCUCAAUUAGUGAAAGAUUGUUGCUUUGUUUCCAGUGGAUGUAGGCACCACUUCUUGGUGCUGAACCACUUAUGCUUGGUGUCAUAUUGUUUCUUUAAUGCUUUGAUUCUUGCGUGUGAUUGUUGCUGGAUAAUCUGUGCUGUUAAUUCUCAAACCAUUGAUACAGAAUUAAUGUCUUGGGGAGAAUUUGGUUAGUCUUAUCAAAGCCGAAUUCACAACAAAAACUGUAAUGGUAUAUCUUGAAUUAUUGGUAGAAUAGUUCUUUGGAGCAAUAAAAACAGAUAAGACAGAUGAGAAAAUUGUCAAUACCCCACCGCAAAAGCAAAAGAAAACAAGGAAAGGAGACAAAAGAGGAAGAAGAAAAAGAAAAAAGAACGAAGAAAAAAAUGGUGCCGUGCGGUAUAGGCAAGAAGAAAAAAUAAUAAAAAAUAAUAAAAUAAUAGUGCACAACAAUCAUUUGAUUGCUAUAAAUAAAAGGCGUUUCCCUCAUUUUAUUCAUCGAAUUCUUCAGUUCCUUUCAAGCGAUUUAAGAGUCUAGUGAUUUGAGAGUUUGGGUGUAGUAUGAUUUUGGGUAGUGAGCUAAAAUACUACAAUACUUGUAACUCAUUUUUAUUAGUAAAAUAUUUUCCUUCUGACUUCGCCCGUGGACGUAUGCUAAAAGCCGAAUCACGUAAUUUCUGGUGUCCCUAUGUGAUUAUGUGUCUCAUUAUUUCUUAAUUUCACUUUAGUUGCGUGUCUGCGACACCCCUCAAUUUAUUAACAAAAAAUGGCCAAAAUUAUAUAAGUGACCCAAAUUUUUUUGUUAUUUCCAAGAAAUCCCCAAUCUGAAUGGGCUAGACCAGAGGGAGGCAAGUUAGAAAUACAUUUCCUUCAUAGACAAUAACAGUGAUGAGUCGAUGACAUCAAGCCACGUCGGUAUCAAUAUUGAAUUAAAGGUGCAAUUAUUCAGCCAAUGAACCUUACACAUCAAGAUAAAAGUCAAGAAAAUGAAAAUUUAUCCCAAUUAAAACACUUUCUGGCUGCAUUUAGUUGUUUCCAUUAGAAGUUAAAAACAACGUUUCUUUCGUUUUGUGGGCAACUCAACUGAGUUAGCUGGCUUCUAGUGCUAGUAUGUGAAAAUAGAAGGCUAAUGAUUUAUUUAUUAUCUUUUGACAAAAUUAUUAAAGAUAUAAUAGAUUUUCUAUGAUACAAGUGAAAAAUCACAUCAACAUAGCUUUCAAUCUACAGCAGCUAGCGUUUACCAAACACUUUGUUGUAGCUUUUAAGCUAUAGCUGCCCAACCUCAAUCUCAAACGCACCCUUAAUAGGUUGAUUGAAUUUGUGAGAUAUGGAUUCCACAUAUCUCAUGACCUAGUAAUUAUACAAGUGGUUCGUGAUCAAGACACAACAUUUGCUUCCGGCCUAGUGACCCAGCAAUCGCUGCACUGGUCGCCACCUAUGGUGCCGACGAUAUUGCAUGGUCCAAUUGUGGCCUUGAAUGGAAAAAGUUGAGCAAAUUAUUUGUGGACACGAUGAUAAGUAACGCAAGCCUUGAUGCUAGUUAUGGUCAAAGAAAACAAGAGGUUAAGAAUACUAUCAGAGAUAUUCAUAACAACAAAAAGGAAAAAAAAAAGGCAUUUGCAAGCCCAUUGAUAUUGGUGAAUUGUCGAUUUCAACUUUGGCAUGUGUAAUCCAGAACCUGCGCGCUGUGGUAUGGCGCUGGCACGCUUGCAUUAACGAGGGGACAAGUCUUGGGGCUGAGCUAACAUUUAAGCUCGCAGAACUCAUGGUGCUAAUGGGAACACCAAAUAUUUUUUUGACAUAUUUUGGUGCUUUCAUGGUUUAAUUCAAGGUAUAGAAAGGAGUGUUGAGAAUGUCAAAUAAAACGGCAUUGAAUGGAAGUUGUCAAAGACACGAUCCGCACCGAACGGCAACGACACGGUUGCUAAAAAUCCUUCCAUAAUAUGCAUAUCUAAUUUUUUAAAAAGUGUAACCUCUGCAUUUAUAAAUAUACUCAAUGUAUAAUGUUUUACUUAAGAAAUGAAAAACUUGUUUGUUCAAGGAGAAUAAAGAAAAUUUUUCUAUGAUUUUUUUAUGGUUUGAACAAAGAAGGUUUUAAUGAGUAUUAUAGACCUCGAUUGAAUGUUCGAAUGUAUAAUAAAAGAGAAACUGUCACAUAAAUGACAAAGAUACUUGGAAAAAAAAAAAGGGCAGCAAUAGAGAAUUAGAUUCGACUGCACAAAUAACUAGUUAAUUCAUCAAUACAUCAUUUUCUUGCUAGAAAAUGACAAUUAUGACAGCAAGCCACGAUAGUGUCAAUAUUGAAAUUGAUUUGCAAUUAUUCAGCCAAUGUGCCUUACACGUCAAGAUAAAAGUCAAGAAAAUGAAAGUUAAUAUCAAUUAAAACACUUCCUGGGCCGCAUUUAGCUCCAGUUUUUGUGGUAGGAAAACAAAGUUUUGUUUUAAAUUCACAUGGUGUGCACUUCCUAUAUAAAUCUAGAGUUGUGUCCCACGUUGAACAAUAAAGGAAAGUCACCUAAAUAUACAUGUAGGAUAAGUUACUUUAUUUAGUAAGUUUGUAUUUUCUUCUUUCUUCUAGUUUACAUAUAAAUUUGAUUAGAUAACUUAACACAUAUUUUAAUACUUGAUCAGAAGCCCUACGUACAGGUGGAUCUAGAAACUUGAUUUCUAAGAGUAAUACUAUAAUAAAAAAAUAAUGAUUCAUAGAACCAAUAUCAAAAUUUGUUUACAAGAUUACCCCCACUCAAAGGUAAUUUUCAUAGAAAUUAAUAGGAAAUUUAAUUGUUAGUGGGGUCAAAUUGCCCCCACACUCUGAAUGUAGAUCCACGCCCGACCCUGAGUCAAGUAUAUUUUGCCACAUAUACUCUGAAUGUCGGCAGGAAAAAUCUUCCACUUUAGUUUAAAAUUUUCACUUAAAAUUUAUUUACGUUAAUAAAGUUGGUAAAGGAAAUGAGUUUAAUUAAAGAAUAUUAUAGGAGAAAUUCUAUUGUUUGGCUUUUAAUAAAUUAAUUAAUAGGUUUAAAAAGAUUAAUAUACAUCAAAAUAUUAUUAGUUGGUGGUGGUUCCACAUCGGACUAAGACGUGGCACCUUACUUGUGAGAUUAAGACAAUCAGGCUUAGACUAUUUAAAUAUGUUUGAAGCUUAGAUGGCACCGCUUCAAUUUGCAUUAAUGAAUGUCAUUCUUUACCCUAAUUACUACGUAAUUGAUAACAUGCAAUUGAAAUAACUAAUAUUAGCACUUGGCUAUAAAUGAACUAAAGGCCGUGCAAUUGAAUCUUUACUUGAUCACUUCAUUCCUUUAUUUUGCUAACACAGAUUUUGAGAUAUUAAAACGAAAUAAUAAUUGAAUCUGGCUUUGUGGGUCGAUGAUGCCAGCAACAACGAGACCACAAUUAUCACUUGUUUAUUUGCUGUAUUUGACGUUGUUUCAUAUUGGUAGUAAUAACUAAUAAGGUCGUUGUAGAGUUUUUAAUCUUUUUUUUUAUAUUAAUCACGAGGUAUCCUGGGGAGGGCCCCAACUGUGGGAGGCACCUUUAAGCUCGUACCACAACCCAGACUAGAAGUCCCCGCUCGAACCGGGAGGCACAGUUUUUAAUCUUUUUUAUAUUAAAGUUAAGUCAAUUUGUUAUAAAUAAAUAAAAAAUUGGUUGAGUUUAAUUAUAUUGCUAUGUACAUUAAAUAAUUAUAAUAUUCUCGAGGGAAAAAGACACCUAGAACCUCAAGGUUUGGGGAAAUGGUCACAAAAACUCCUAAGUUUUAAAAAAGGAACACUAAAAUCUUUUUUUACCCAUAAUACCCUUUGACUAUAGUAAUUAGAAAAUUGACUUUAAAGGUUUUUAAAUAAUACAAAUUUAAUAUAAAUCAUAUAAUCUAUCUAGUACACUAAUAAUAUUAAAUUAUUUUUUAUAUUUAAAAUAAUGUUAAAAAAUUUAAAUUAUUAUAUUUAUUUUAAUAAUAUAUUUAUAAAAUUAUAAAGAUUUUAAAUAAAUCUUUGGAUUGAAUAUAUUUUACAAUUAAAAGUCUUCCUAUUAAUAAUAUUAAAAUUAAAUUUUAAGUAAUAUAUAUUCAAAAUAUUUUUAAUUUAAUUUUAUUUAUUUUAAUAUUAUGUUUCUAUCUAUUAUUAAAAAUUACUUUAAUAUAAUAAAAUAGGUCUAAUAGAUUGAAAAAUAUGAAAAUAUUUUUAAAAUUUUAAAUUAUUUUGAAAUGUAUAUAUUAUUACAUUUAUUUCAAUGUCAUAUUUCCAUUUAUUAUAAAAUUUUGGGGUUAUUUUUUUGGGAAUUUAUAGAGUCAAAGAGCAUUAUGGUUAAAAAAGAGUCUUGGUGUCCCUUAUUGAAAACUUUAGAGUUUUUGUGACCAUUUUCCUAAAUCUUGGGGGUGUUGAAGUGGCACUUAUUGUAAGAUUGAUUUUAAAAUAUGUAAAAUUAAUUUUAUUACAUUACCAUAUGCUACAUCACCUGAAACUUAAUAAAUGGAACGUAGCAUUACUCCACGUUCACCGUUAUGACCUUAUGACAUUAGAAUUAAAAUCUUUCGUACGUUUAAAUUGUUUACUUCCAAAUUAAUCUUUCGUAAAUAUUUUGUACAGAUCUUAUCGGAGUUAGCGUGUUCAUUACAGUGUUUCUUUUCUUUUAUCCUUUCUUUUGAAACGUAUUUCCUGUGGACAAGGAAAGCAAAUAAUACCCUGCCACCAGGACCUCGCGGCUUGCCUGUAAUCGGAUACCUUCCAUUUCUCGGAAUUACUGACUUACACAAGACAUUCACGGAAUUAGCUGGUCUAUAUGGCCCGAUCUUCAAACUCUGGCUUGGCAACAAAUUGUGUGUAGUGGUUAGCUCGCCUUCAACUAGUUCUAUAAGAAUAUCCCUUUUAAGGGAUUCUCUCUCUGCAAAAUUUUUUUAUCUUCUGGUGCAUAAUAAAAACUUAUGCCACUUCAUUAACCACAGAUAUCUUUUGAGGAAACGAUGUUUCGUUUUCUUUUGUUUUUUCCUUCCUAAUCCUCGCAUAUCGUGUGAAGGCUAAUAUAUCCAAGAAUCUAAAUCUCUGUAAAUCUUUUUCUAUCCAAAUCUACAUAAUAAUUUAAUCCAUGCACAAUAUCUAUAAUUAUAUCGGCUGUCGGCUGAUUUCGUGGAGGGGGCGGCAGUUCAAAUUUUUUACGUGCAUGUUGGAUGGACGUCUCUAUUAAAGGAGAGCCACCACUUGCAUGGUAAUUUUUUUAAAUAAAUAUAUACAUUUCAAAAUAUUAUUUCAUUGUUGUAUAGUUAACAUGUCACCUUAGAUGUAUUUUAGAACUUCUCCUAUUAAAGAUAAUCUCAUGCAGUGAUACUUCUCGUGAUCUAAUCAUUAGUAGAAUCUAUAAUUUCGCUACUGUAAUAAAAUCUGUCCCUACCCUAUAUGAAUGUAGAUAUUUGACGCGAUUUGUAAUUGCUUCCGACAGGAAAACAGCAAUAGUUUAAUUGAAAUUUGUGGUAUGGAUUCCACGAAUCUUAUGACAGAAUACUGACCACUCCAACCCUAUCCACAUUUACACGAUUAAAACACAAGCUUAGAUGUGACAAUGCAUUUGUCACUUUUGUUCAAAUUCAUCCUGAAACACUAUACACUAAAUAAUCGAAUAUGGCUUCGUGGGUCGAUGAUGCUAGCAGCAACGAGACUGCAAUUAUCACUUGUUUUGUUGCUGUACUUGUCGUGGUCUAUUUCGCAUGGAAUGUAAACAAAUCAAGUAAAGCAAAUGCUAAAUUGCCACCAGGAUCUCGGGGCUUGCCAGUAGUCGGAUACCUCCCAUUUCUUGGAACUACUGACUUACACAAGACAUUCACGGAGUUAGCUGGAGUUUAUGGUCCGAUCUUCAAGAUUUGGCUUGGGAAUAAAUUGUGUGUAGUGGUGAGCUCGCCUACCCUAGUUAAACAAGUGGUCCGUGAUCAAGAUAUAACAUUCUCAAACCGCGACCCACCGAUCGCUGGAACUGUGACCACCUACGGUGGCAAUGAUAUUGCACUUUCCAAUUAUGGUCCCGAAUGGAAAAAGUUGCGAAAAUUAUUUGUGAGCAAGAUGAUGAGUAAUGCAACCCUUGAUGCUUGUUAUGCUCUAAGAAAACAAGAGGUUAAAAAUACUAUCAGGGAUUUGUACAACAACAAUAAGGAUAAUAUUGGCAGUGGCAAUGGCAAGCCCAUUGACGUUGGUGAAUUGUCGAUUUCAACUUUGGUACGUGUUAUGCAGAACAUGCUGUGGGGUCAAGCAUUGGAAACAAGAGAGAAAGAGAUUACUAAUCUCGGGGCUAAUCUUGCAGAACUCAUGGUGCUACUGGGAACACCAAAUAUUUCGGAUAUUUUUCCAGUGCUUUCAUUGCUUGACAUGCAAGGUAUAGAGAGAAGAGCUAAGAAGAUUUCUCUAUGGUUUGAAAACAUUAUCAAUUCUGGUGUUGAACAGUAUAGAAACAAGUUUUCUGUUGUUAAAGGUGAAGAAGCUGCAGCAGGAAAAAAUAUUGAACGAUCAAGAAAUAAGGACUUCUUGCAGUUACUGUUGGAGCUUCAGGAAAAUGAAGAUAGUGCUUCAUCUAUUAGCAUGAACCAACUAAAGGCCGUGCUCGUGGUAUGUUAAGCAACUAGACACAAAAAGUUGUAAAAGCACAGUGAUAUAUUUGCGCGAGGCCGCGAGUGAUGUUUUGCCUCGAGAACUCUCAAUUUUAUCUUACGGUAAAAAAUGUUUUUCAACUUUUUUUAAUUAGAAUUUUAUUGCAAUUUAUUUAACAGGACAUAAUUGUGGCCGGAACCGACACCACAACUACGAUGGUGGAAUGGACAAUGGCAGAGUUGAUGCAACAUCCACAAGUAAUGAAGAAAGUUCAAGAAGAAUUAGCUCAAGUUGUGGGCAUGGACAGUUGUGUUGAAGAAUAUCACUUGCCUAAAUUAAAUUAUUUAGAUGCUGUGGUGAAAGAAACAUUUCGUUUGCAUCCUGCGUUGCCCUUAUUGGUACCUCGCACGGCAAGCGAGAACAGCAAUAUUGGUGGCUAUACCAUUCCCAACGACACUAAUUUUAUGUUGAAUGUUUGGGCUAUUCACAGGGAUCCUCAACUUUGGGAUAAUCCCUUAGAUUUUCGACCUGAGAGGUUCUUGAAUGAUGAUAUCAUAAGCAAAUUCAAUUACUCGGGUAACAAUUUUCAGUACUUGCCAUUUGGUUCUGGUAGAAGGAUGUGCGCUGGCAUUCCUCUAGCUGAGAGGAUGUUGAUGCUUGUUCUGGCUUCGUUGUUGCACUUGUUUGAGUGGAAAUUGCCCCCGGGCACAAAGCUAGACUUAGCUGAAAAGUAUGGGAUUGUCAUGCGGAAAAAAGAGCCUCUGAUUGCUAUUCCAACACCAAGGCUACCAAAUUCAGAUCUCUACCAGUAAGAUCAAAAUGGUUGUGAUGAUAUUAUUUCCCAUUGUAUUGGAAUAUUUUUGUGUGAUUUGAAGUUCAAUCAUAAUAAAAUAUUUUAAUAAAAUGUCCUCGGUUGCUAAUUUUUCAAUAGUAUACUCUAUCAUCGUUUCUAACUGUCUUUUAGAGCCAUUUGGUCUAAUUUAUUUUUGAAUUAAAAUCCAUAAAUAUUUAAAUUUUUGAAUCAUAUUAAGAAUUAUCUGGAGUGUAUGGUCUGAUCUUCAAGUUCUGGCUUGUAAACAAAUUAGAGUUCUGAUAUUUGCCCCGGGUCAAACCCCGAAAUUAAAUAAAACGGCGUCGUUUUGUUUUUUUUUUUUUUUUUUUCUUUUUUACUUCUUCCAAACGUUGCCAUUUCACUUGUCAUUUGCAAGUGACUCCAUUGAUCCUUAGUUGAAACAGAGUUACACCGUAAAUCUCUUCCUCUUCGUUUCUUCGUUUCACCAGGGAACGAGACAGAUAAAAUCCAGCCAUUCUUCGACAUAACAAGAUAUCGAUUAGAAUCCAACGACAUAACUAUAAACCAUGACAUUGCGCUUGAUUUUGCGAAAUACCGAUUAAGAACCAGUAACUUUGAAUCCAAUGACCGUUAAGAGUUUGAAAUUGGUUUCAAAUGACUAAUGAGUUAUCAGAUUUCUUUGCGUCUACAUUUUCCUUGAAGGUUUCUCAGCAGCCAAACAAAUACAAAGCAAAUUGCAGAAGAAACACAUUUUGUUCCAAUGAAAAAUGUACGGAAACAUUUUAAAUAUGGAAAAUUACCUCAAAAUGAAGGCUCGCAAGAGAUUCGAGCAACAAAUUAGAUCAAAGGAACCGGCGCUGAGCAAGAAAGUGAGCUCAAAGAUUCCGAAACACAAACGUAAAUUCACAAAAAUGCAAAUCUAUGAUGAACGCCAAGAUCAAAAUUUUCGAAGAAAGGGAGCUGAAAAAAUAAAUGAAACGUCAAACUAGAUGACAAUGGAUUUGCUUCUUCAAAGGAGACAAUGAAAUUGUUACUAGAGACAGCUAGAGAAAUAGAGAGAGAGAGAGAGAGAGCUUGAAUUGGCUGUACCCCCACCAGAAAGUGGGUAGUGCCUUUUCCACUUGGACUUGAUAUGCGAAUCUGAAAAAAUCUGAACGAAGGACUGACUCAUCCCAGCUCGAAAGCAAACCAAGCUAGGACUGACUGAAAACGUUGCCGUUUGGAGAAGUUAAAAAAAAAAACUAAACAAAACGACGCCGUUUUGUUUAGUUUCGGGGUUUGACCCGGAAUUUGACCCGGGGCAAACAUCAUUUUCCAACAAAUUAUGCAUGGUCGUGUACACGCUUUCCCUAAUUAAGCAUGAGGUUCGUGAUCAAGGCACAACAUUCACUCCCUGCGACCCAACAAUCGCUACAUUGUUUGCCACCUAUAGUGCCAACGAUUUUGCACGGUCCAAUUAUGGUCCCCAAUCGAAAACGUUGCGCAAAUGUUUUCUGGGCAAGAUGAUAAGUAACGCAAGCCUUGAUGCUUGUUAUGGUCUAAGAAAACAAGAGGUUAAUAUAUAUAUAUAUAUAUAUAUAUAUAUAUAUAUAUAUAUAUAUAAAUUGGCAUUGUCAACUUUUGUAUGUUUUAUUCAGAACCCGCUGUGGGUUGACGCUAGCAUGCUUGCGUUAGGAGACGAGGGGACCAAUCUUGGGGCUGAGCUAAAAUAUAAGCUUGUAGAGAUCAUCUUGCUAAUGGUAAUGUUUUCCGAUGCUGGUUUAAUUCAUGGUAUAAAAAGGAGAACAAAAAAGAUUUUUCUAUGCUUUGAAAAUAUUAUAAUUUUUAUUUUAUAAUUUUUAAUAAAAUCUCUCAUUGAUAGCCAAACAAUUAAAAUUUUUGUAAAGCUUUUGUGGACUUUUGAUCGCGUAUGGUGCCAAUGUAUUGCGUGGUCCUAUUAUGGUUCCAAAUGGAGAAAGUUGCACAAGUUUUUUGAGUACCAGAAGAUCAGUAAUGUAAGCCUUGAUGGUUGUUAUGGUCUAAGAAAACAAGAGGCUAAAAAUUCUAUCUGGGAUUUUUAUAACAACAACAAAAUUGGCAAGCCCAUUGACAUUGGUGAAUUGUCAGUUUCAACCUUGGUAAGUGCGAUUCAGAACAUGCUGUGGGGUGAAACGCUUGAAAUAACAAAGAAAUGGAUUUACUAAUAUUGGGGCUGGGCUAAGAUUUAAGCUUGCAGAACUCACGGUGCUAGAGGGAACACCGAAUAUUUUGGAUAUCUUUCCAGUGCUUUCAUGGUUUAAUAUACAAGGUUUUCAGAGAAUAGCAAAGAAGAUUUCUCUAUGGUUUUAAAAUAUUAUCAAUUCUACUGCUGAACGCUAUAGAAACAACGUCUCUAUUGUCAAAAGUGAAGAAGCAGCAGCAGCAGGGAACAAUAUUGAAGGAAGGAAUAAGGACUUGGUGCAGUUACGCUUGGAGCUUCAAGGUAAAGAAGACAAUGCUUCAUCAAUUAGCAGGACGCAAUUUAAGAGCUUGCUCGUGGUAUGUUGCGCAACUAGCCACAGACAGUUACAGAAACUGAGUUUGGCAGAUUACGACCGUUUCUGGUGAUUACAUAAUUAUUUGUGGCUGUUUUUUUUUUUUAAUUGUAAUUUUCUUAACAGGAUAUAAUUUAGGGUGGAACCAACACCACAACUAUAAUGGUGGAAUGGACAAUGGCAUAAUUGAUACAGCAUCCACAAGUAAUAGAGAAUGUACAGGUAGAACUAAAUCGGGCCGUGGCCAUCGACAGCCAUGUUGAAGAAUUUCACCUAGCUAAGUUAAAAUAUUUAGAUGCUGUGGUGAAAGAAACAUUCUGCACUGUAAUAUAAUACAUGAAUCAUAUGUCCUCUAUUGUUUUUUUAUUUUUCUCUUUUUUUCAAUAGCUUAAUCUAUCAUUAAAAUCUUCUGAAAUUCUAAAUUAAUAUACAUUCAACCUAGAGUUCAAGCCAAAGUUUUAUUGAGCAUUAAAAAAAAAAAAAAUUCUACGACUCAAAAUUUUGUGGAGUAUAAAUUAAAAAUUAUGCGCCUACUAAGAGACAAAAAAUAAAUGAUACACAUUAACCAAUCAAAGGCGAACAAGAGAUUAUUAACAAUAACCUAAUAAUAAAAUUAUAAUGAAUAAAAAAGAAAUGGUACCUAGAAACACAUCACAGCCAUUUAAGCAAUCACUUACCCACAAAAUCCAAACAUAUAAACUAUGUGGGGGGGGGGGGGGGGGGGGGGGGUGUCAUGAUACCUUUGGGUUUCAUGAUAAUCAAAAUUGCAAUACCAUUAAAGACUCAAAAAUAAAAAAAAUCAUAGCCAAUAAAAGAGAAAAAAUAACCCACAAAAAAUCAUCAAGAAAAUAAAUUUGAGACUAAGAGAAGAUAUUAAUUAAACCCUGGGUUGCCUUGGAACCACGGCUUUGGCUUCCAUUUUUCAAUUCUUGGCGACAAGUCAUUUCUUGUUUGUUUACAAAGAUGACGGCUGAUUAAUGAAGCUCUAUUAACAAUGAAUAAAUAAAAAAACUGGCGCCUUGAAAAGACUAACGGUCAUAUUUUUCAACUCCGAAUUAGUGCCGUUUGAUGAGUCCUUGCCAAAACAAUCACUAGGCAAAUAACAAUCAUUUUUCAACCAGCAAAACUCAUUCAUUGUAUUUCACCUUAGUCAAGAUUUAAAAAUUGUUUCAAAAUAAACCUAGUGGUUAGAACCCAAGCGUCACAAUUGUGAGGUCAUGGGUUUGAGCCCCCACAACGUAUUGUGGGGGUUAAUUUUCUUCUUCAAUUUGAGUGAAAACAGUUCUCUCCCUUUCGAAAUGUGGGUGGAGUGGACGUCCCUCAAAUAUUAGAGAGGGUUCAAAUUUGGAUUGUACUAUAUAAGAUUUAUAAAUUAGUCCCAGUAAUUAUCUGAUUGUAAAUAUCAAUAUACUAAUCUAAUUAAAUAUGAGUUGUAAUAUGAGCGUUAGUCUCAUGUAAUUAAAAAAAAAAUGUUUCAAAAUAGGAUUCUUAAAAGGUUGGGGAAAUGGCCAUCAAUAUCCCCAACUUUCCAAAAAGAGACACCAAGACCCAUUUUGACCAUAAUACCCUUUACUUCUAUUAUCCCCAAAAAAUUGACUCUAAUGUUUUAUAAUAAAUAAAAAUAUAACAUUAAAAUAAAUGUAAUAGUAUAUACAUUUUAAAAUAGUUUCAAUAUCUAAAAACCAUUUUAAUAUUUUAAAUCCUAUUAUAUAUAUAUUAAAGUAAAUUUUAUAAUAAAUAGAAUCAUAAUAUUGAAAUAAAUGCAUUAAAAUUUAAAUUAUUUUUAAUAUUAUGUAAAAUAAUAAUUUUAUCAUUAUAAGUAUAUGAGAAUUUUUUUAAUUGUAGAAUGUAUUUAAUGCAAAUAUUUAUUUAAAAUCUCUACAAUAAAUAAAAAUAUACUAUUAAAACAAAUCUCUACAAUAUAUACAUACAUACAUAUACAUUGGCCUGGUAUUUUAUUUUUCAUUUUUUAAACUUAUUAAAUCCUCUAACUAUCAUUUGAUUAUUUUUUUCAAUGAUGAAGAGGCCAUUGCCGGAUAAAUUAUUAAAAUCAACUAGUUCUACAAGAAUGUCCCUUUUUAAAGGAAGAUGAUUCUCUCUCUCGAAAUUUUUUAUCUUGUGCUACAAACUAAAAACUUAUGCCAUUUCAUUAACCACAGAGAUCUUUGAGGAAAUGAUGCUUCGCCCCCCCCCCCCCCCCCCCCCCCCCCCCCCCCCCCCCGCGGCGCCAAAAAGUGUCCUUCCAUAUUUUGUGAAGGCUAAUACAUCGAUGAAUCUAGAUUUCUUUAAAUUUUUUGUUUUACUCAAUUCGAGAUAAUAAAUAGUUUAUCUUUAUUAAAUCUUUACUUUAACAAUGAUAGAUAUUCAAUCCAUGCAAAUAUCUAUCAUUGUAUGAGCUGAUUGCGUGGAGGGAGCGGUAAUUGAAAUCUAAUUGAAAACAGCAGAAGGCUGUUCUUGACAGAUCUCAAAUAUAUUACGGACACGUUGGGAGACAUCUCUAUCAUAGAUAUCCCCAUGCAGUGAUAUUUGUCGUGAUCUAAUUUUUAGUAAAUCUGUAAGAGAGAUUGUAACAUCUUUCAAGUUUUUUGGUUUGAUAUUCUAGACGAAAACGGUUUGUCGUUUCUUGAGCAAACGGCUAACCGUUUAAGUCCAGAGAGCAUGUUUGUUGUUCUGGAUAAAACGGCUCACCGUUGUUGCGAAAACGGCUAACCGUUUAACUCAAGAGAGCAUGUUUUAUGUUCUAGAGAAAACGGCUCACCGUUAUUGAGAAAACGGCUAACCGUUUAUUUACAGAGAGCAACGUAUUUGAUAUUCUGGAAUAAAAUGGCUCACCAUUUAUUGAGAAAACGGCUAACUGUUUAUUUCCAGAAAGGCGUCAAUUAGAAAAACGGUUAGCAAGAAUGAAAAUUUCAAUUGACAAUCGAUGCAAAUUCAAACCAAAAGAGUGUCUUCGAAAAAGUACCAUUUCUAAUGGUUGUAUUCUUUCAAAUAAACAUCUUCUUCAUUAAAGAAAUACACACAAUUAGAUUGAUAAUCAGAUUUUGACAGGUUUCUUAUAUGUUCUGGAAAUACAAUCUUAUUUGCUAGAGAUUGUAUUCAGGAUUUGUUAUAUCUUGGGGGUAAUUUGCCAUUAAAACUAUAUAGCAAACCAAGAUUGGUGAGGGCAAAUAAAACCUUAAAGGAAAGUAUGCAAACACGUCUCAAAUCCUAUGAAACUUUCUUUGUUCUUUGCCUCCAUAUUCUUAUUAUUCACUAACAAAAUCCCCAUGCAGUGAUAUUUGUCGUGAUCUAAUUAUUAGAAAAAUCUAUGAUUUCGCUACUGUAAUAAAAUUUGUCACUACUCUACAUUAAUCUAAAUGUCUGAUGAGAUUUGUAAUUGCUUCCGACGGGAAAACAGUUAAUAGGUUGAUUGAAUGUAUGUGGUAAAGAUUCCACGUAUCUCACGACAGAAUGCUGACCACUGGAACCCUAUCUACUUUUACGCGAUUAAUUCACGAGCUUAGGCACGACAAUUGCAAUACAAAUUAUCCCUUCAUCAUAUAUUUCGUUAAAAUUCAUUCUGAAGCACUAAAACUAAACAAUCGAAUAUGGCUUUGAGGGUCGAUGAUGCCAGCAGCAAUGAGAGUGCAAUUAUCACUUGUUUAGUUUCUGUGCUUGCCGUGGCUUAUUUAGCAUGGAAUGUGAAAAAAUCAAGGAAAGCAAAUGCUAAACUGCCACCAGGACCUCGCGGCUUGCCUGUAGUCGGAUACCUCCCAUUUCUCGGGACUACUGACUUGCACAAGAAAUUCACGGAAUUUAUUUUACUAUUAUAUUUAUAUUCAAAAUAAUUUUAAUUAGCUUUUAAAAUGAAUGAUUUUAGGAAAUUAUAAAUAAAGGUAACUAAGAAUUCUCUUAAUGUAAUAUAUUAUUAAUUAGUUUAAAAAUACAAAUUUAUUAAUUAGAGAAAUUAUUAGUGAAUUUAAAUUAAUGAUCUUAAUGAUUUGUUUGUACGAUUGCCCCCAAUCAAAGGUAAUUUUCCUAAAAAUUAUUAGGAAAUUAGAGAAAUUUAAUUUUUUUAGUGGGUUCAAUUGCCCACACACCCCGACUGAAGCAUUUUUUACAAUAUGUACUCCGUUUGUCGGCAGGAAAAUAAAGGUCUUGACACAUGAUCACUUCACUCCUUUAUUUACUUUGCUAACGCAGAUUUUGAGGUAUUAAAACAAAUAAUAAUUGAAUAUGACUUUGUGGGUCGACGACGCCAGCAACGAGGAGACCGCCAAUUAUCACAUUUUAAGUUUGCUGUAAUUGCCGUUGUUUUAUAUUAGUAGAAUAUUAGUGAUAAGAUAAUUGUAGAGUUUUCAUUUUUUUAAUAUUAAAAUCAAGUCAAUUUAUUAUAAUAAAUUUAGUUGAAUUUAAUCGUAUUACCACAUAAAUUGAAUAAUAAUAGAAUUCUCGACAAUAUUUCAAUAUUUUAAUCUCAAGCAUUGGAGUGGCAUUUAUUUGUUAUACGGUCGAUUUUAGAAUUUAUAAAAUUAUUCGUUGCUGAAUUGCACCAUAUGCUGCAUAACCUGAAACUUAAUAAACGGAACGUAGCGUUGGCACCGUUACUCAACAUUCACUGUUACGACUUUGUGACAUUAGAAUUAAAAUCUUUUCCACAUUUAAUUUGUUUACUUCCAACUUAAUAUUUAACAAAAUGUAUGUUAGCAUUGUAUGCCAUAUCAUCUGUAAUUUUGUCAGGAUCGAUCAUUCUAAUUUUUAAGCAGAACUUUUUGUCAAUGGACAAACACCUCAUACAGCUUGUCAGAGGCAUUAGUAUGAUGUAAAAUUGUAAUGGUAUAUCUUGAAUUAUUUUAGAAUAGUGAAUAACUAUUUGGAGCAAUAAAAACAAAUAAGACAGAUGAGAAAAUGGCUAAAAUUAUAUAAGUGACCCAAAAUUUUUUGCUAUUUCCAAGAAAUCCCCAAUCUGAAUGGACCAGAGGGAGGCAAGUUAGAAAUACAUUUCCUUCAUAGACAAUAACAACGAUGAGUGGAUGACAUCAAACCACGUUGGUAUCAAUAUUGAAAUAAAGGUGCAAUUAUUCAGCCAAUGAGCCUUAGUACACAUCAAGAUAUAUAAAAGUCAAGAAAAUGAAAAUUUAUCCCAAUUAAAACUCUUUCUGGCUGCAUUUAGCUGUUUCUGUUUAGGGAUGGCAAUUUAAUCCGGACCCAGCCCGACCCGGAUGAAUCCAGAAAAUUCGGGGUGGAUUCAACCCGUACCGGAGUGAAUAAAAUCUGAUAUUCAAAUUCAAUAUUUUCAACCCGGACGUUUCCGAGUCCGGAUCCGGAUUUGGGUAAACCCGCAUAUCCGGAACCCGGAUCCGGAUAACUAUUUUAAUAUUAAUUUUUAAAUCAUUUUAAAAUAAAAAAAAAUUAGAAAAAAUCAGCCCUAAUGCCCUUCCACAGCCACGGCAGCCAAACCAAACCCAGACAUUUCCUCUCUCUCUCUUUAGCCCUUCUUUUCAACAAAUCAUCAUCGUUGCUCAUCAUCGUUUCGUCGUGUUCAUCUUCAUCUUCAUCAUCAGCUGCCGUUUGUCCAGCUAUGUCACUAGUUUUGGCCGCCGUUUCCGUUUGUGCACCUUCGCAAAUCGGGAUCUCGAUUUGGCCGCCAACACUUCUACCCCCUGGUGUUUUGCUUUGUCCUCGACAACUUCUUUGUUGAUAAAUUGACGGGCACUUAUGAAUGCAUUUGUCUCUGUUUCUUCAUUUACACCUUCCCAGUUGUUUGUUCAUUUGCUUUUUGGAAGGAAAAAAAAAAAAAAUCAGCCACCAUUUAUCCUUCCCCUUUUCUUGACCUAACCCCACAAAGCCCAAUUUGUCAUCAUCAUUCAUUGGCAAAUUUGUUAUCAUCAUGGUUGAGACAUCAUGAUUAUCUUUGAUAAUUGAAUUUGUGUAAUAUGUUACCUUGGAUUUUAUUUCUAAGUAUUUGAUUUUGAAUUAUUUUCCAUUAUUGGUGUUAAUAGAUAGAAGAUUAGAAAGGAAUUCUUCACUGAAUAAAGAGAUGGGAAAUUGCAUCUUUUAGCAAUCAUCCGGGUUAUAAACCCGGAAUCCGGAAACCAGGAUUUUUCCGGGUUUAACCCAGUCCGGACCCGAAUGAAAAAUAUCCGGGUUUACAUCCGGGUCUGGUAUUAAAAUUUAUCGUCCGGAUCCGGAACAGGGAAGACAAAACCCGGACCCGAACCCACAUUUUGCCAUCCCUAUUUCCAUUUGAAGUUAACAACAACGUUUCUUUCGUUUUGUGGGCGACUUGACUGAGCCAGCUGGAUUCUAGUGCUAGUAUGUGAAAAUAGAAGGCUAAUGAUUUCACGUUCACUAGCCCACCUCCCCUCCUCUCGUUUCCUCUGAAUCAAUUUUCACGUGUGGUACCGAUUGAAAAUAUCUCUGACAUUUCGUGGACAUCUCUAUUGAAAAUAUCUCAGACAUUUCACUCAGGCAAACUUAUUAAUAUAAAAAAUCUAUGAUUUUUUCGUCUUAUACUGUAGAAAAAUUUGUCUAUACAUUAAUCUAGAUGUUUGAGGUGGUUUAUACAUCUGUGGUAUAGAUUUAUAGGUUGAUUGAUACGUCUGUGGUAUAGAUUUUAUGUAUUUCAUUAUCAAAUGCUGGCCUUUGGGACCCUAUCUACAUCUAUUUAUAAAACUAACGGGUGCCAGUUAUGCCAUUACAAAUUAUCCCCUCUUCAUACAUUUCCUUAAAAUUCUUCUGAAACACCAAAACUAAAUAAUCGAAUAUGGCUUUGCGGGUCGAUGAUGCCAGCAACAAUGAGGCUGCAAUUAUCACUUGUUUAGUUUCUAUGCUUGCCGUGGUUUAUUUCGUAUGGAAUGUGAACAAAUCAAGGAAAGCAAAUGCUAAACUGCCACCAGGACCUCGCGGUUUGCCUGUAGUCGGAUACCUCCCAUUUCUCGGAACUACUGACUUGCACAAGAAAUUCACGGAAUUAUCCGGAGUUUAUGGUCCGAUCUUCAAGCUCUGGCUCGGAAAUAAAUUAAGUGUCGUGGUGAGCUCACCUUCCCUAGUUAAACAAGUGGUUCGUGAUCAAGAUACAACAUUCGCAGACCGUGACCCGCCGAUCUCAGGACUAGUGACCUCCUUUGGUGGCAAUGAUAUUACAUGGUCCAAUUACGGUCCCGAAUGGAGAAAGUUGCGCAAAUUUUUUGUGGGCAAGAUGAUGAGUAACGCAAGCCUUGAUGCUUGUUAUGCUUUAAGAAAACAUGAGGUUAAAAAUACUAUCAGGGAUUUGUAUAACAACGGCAACAAAAUUGGUAAGCCCAUUGACAUUGGUGAAUUGUCGAUUUCAACAUUGGUAUGUGCUAUGCAGAACAUGCUGUGGGGUGAAGCGCUUGAAUUAAAAGAGAAAGGGACAACUAAUCUUGGGGUUGAGCUAAAAUUUAAGUUUGCAGAACUCAUGGUGCUACUGGGAACACCGAAUAUUUCGGAUAUCUUUCCAAUGCUUUCUUGGCUCGACAUACAAGGUAUAGAGAGGAGAGCAAAGAAGAUUUCACUCUGGUUUGAAAAAAUUAUAAAUUCUACUGUUGAAAAGUAUAGAAGCAAGGACUUUAAUGUUGAAGGUAAAGAAAGAGCAGGGGAAAAUUUUGAAGGAUCAAGGAACAAGAACUUCUUGCAGUUACUAUUGGAGCUUCAAGAAAAUGAAGACGGUUCUUCCUCAAUUAGCAUGAACCAAUUUAAGGCCGUACUCGUGGUAUGUUAAGAAACUAGCCGCAAACAGUUAUACAAGCACAGCUGUAUAUUUUGCAUGAGUGAUAUUUUCAACCUUUUUUUUUUAUAAUUAGAAUUUUAUUGUAACCUUUUGGACAGGAUAUAAUUACGGCUGGAACCGACACCACAACUACGAUGGUGGAAUGGACAAUGGCAGAGUUGAUGCAGCAUCCACAAAUAAUGAAGAAAGUUCAGGAAGAAUUAGCUCAAGUUGUGGGCAUGGACAGUUGUGUUGAAGAAUUUCAUUUGCCUAAAUUGAAAUAUUUAGAUGCUGUGGUGAAAGAAUCGUCUCGUCUGCAUCCUGCAGUGCCUUUAUUACUACCACGCAGAGCAAGCGAGAGUGGCAGCAUUGGUGGCUAUAACAUUCCCAAAGAUACAACUAUUAUGUUGAAUGUUUGGGCAAUCCACAGGGACCCUAAACUUUGGGAUAAUCCCUUAGAAUUUCGACCCGAGAGGUUUCUAGAUGAUGGUAUCGCGAGUAAGUUCGAUUACUCAGGUAACAAUUUUCAGUACUUGCCAUUUGGUUCUGGUAGAAGGAUGUGUGCUGGGAUUCCUCUAGCUGAGAGGAUGCUGAUGUUUGUUUUGGCUUCGUUAUUGCACUCAUUUGAGUGGGAAUUGCCAGCUGGCACAAAGCUAAACUUAUCUGAAAAAUUUGGGAUUGUCAUUAAGAAAAAAGAGCCUUUAGUUGCUAUUCCAACACCAAGACUAUCCAAUUCAGAGCUCUACCAUUAAGACAGAAUGGUUGUGAUGAUUUUGUUAAUUUCCGAAGAUUUGUAUGUUAUGUCAAGUUCAAUCGUAAUAAAAUAUUUCAAAUAAGAGUCCUCCGUUGCUUUUUUUUUUUUUUUCAACCGCAUAAUCUGUCGUCAUGCUUGUAUUUGGGGCUACUUUGGAAUAAUUAUGUUUGAAUUACAAUAUAUAAAUAUUACAUUUUAAAAUUUUAUGAGAUUCUAAAUUUAUACACGUUCAAUAACCCACUUCAUAUAUGUUUAACACAAUUUAUAUCAUACAUUGUAUACCCAUUUGUCAUAAAUUACGCUAUUUUAUAUCUCUAAAUAAUAUUACAUAUUGAUAUUAUAAAAUGUUGUUAACUCACGUGUGUAUAUAUAUAUAGCAAGUCACGUGCAUAUAUUAUUGGUUGUUAUAUGUUUGCUAGUUUGAUAGGAUUUCCUUUCCUUGUGAACUAGGGUAAUUCUUAUGUACAUAUAAAUAUUGAUCAAUAAGAGUGCAGAUGAUGACUGCAGUUUUGCAUCGUAGAAAUUCUUCGUAAAAUAUAUAUGUUUAUCAAAAGGCUAUACCAUUCAAUAUAUAUUGGAAAGAGAACAAAGAAGAUCUUCUUAUGGUUUGAAAAUAUUAUGAAUUCUGCUGUUGAACAGUAUGGAAACAAGGUCUGUUGUUAAAGGUGAAGAAGUCACAGGGAACAAUAUUGAAGGAAGAAAUUUCACGUUUAGUUGCUGAAUUUGCCGCUGUAUUCUAUCGGUAGUAAAAAGAUUAGAGUUUUUAUUUUUCUCUAUUAAUGUUAAGUCAAUUUUCUAUAACAAAUUCGGUUGAGUUUAAUUGUGUUACAAUAUAAAUUGAAUGAUAGUAGAAUUUUCAACGAAUAAUUCAAUAUUUCUAUCUCGAUUGUUGAAGUGCCAUUUAUUUGUUAUACGAUCGAUUUUAAAAUUUAUAAAAUUAUUUGUUACUAAAUUGCAUCAUAUGCUAAAUCACCUGAAACCUAAUUUCAUAACUAACCCUUUAUUUUUAGUUCUCAAGAAAUCUUGUAAGAACAAAAUUCUUUUGUAACAAAACGUUUACAACAAAUUAAUUUGUAACUCAUUCCUGUGCGAGAAUCACUCUCAAUUUCCUUCAAUUGCUGUUUAACAAUCAUCUGCUUAUCAAAAUUCAAGCAUAAUCUUUUUUUUUAAUUUCUUCAUCAUUCUUUUGAAAAAAAAAAUCAGGAUAUGCUGUUAAAUUUUGAAAUAAAUUAUCUCAAAAUAAUUACUAACCAGAAAAAACAAAGGGGUUUAACUAGGUUAUGCAUACCUUUGAAAAUUAUAUGUUGAUCGAUAAGAAUGAUGAUCACGAUUGACGAGUUUAAUUAAAAUAUAUAAGAUUUUAAAAUUAAUCAGGGUUAAAUUGUGAAUUUUAGAAAGAGAGGUUUUGUGAGAAUGUUGAAAGGGUGUUAAUAGUUCCACUCUUUUUAAAAACAACCAUAGUCAUCAUUUUUCCAUGGUUGUUUUUAAAAAGAGUAUUUCUUCUUCCCAUCUCCAUCUUAUUUAGAAAUUUCCCAGAGCCUUUGUUUCCCACCUUUCAUUUUUCUUCUUUCUAAUUUAAUAAUCCACCCUUCUUGUAUUCAAACUAAAAAAUUAAAAUCUGAAAAUUUAAAACCCAAUAUUAUAGUAUUAUAAAAAUAAUUACUCACAUUUUAUCAAACACCUCCAUUCUUCCAAGGCCUUGUUUUAGUAGUAGGCUUUUAUUAUCUCAAUAAAAUUGAAAAAAAAAAUCUCAAUAAUAUUGGAAAAAAACCCUACCCAUAUUUGUAACUUUAAUUUAUUAUUCUCCAUAGACCUACUUUUUAGUUUUGAAUUUUGUUGGAGCCAUAUAUAAACAGAAUAUGUUGAAAUCAGCACCCAAAAAAAAAAAAACUAAUUAUAUAAUUUAUGUUCCCAAGGACAUGGCUGAGUGAUUUUCAAGAAGUUUUGUUUGGCUGGCCACUUAGGUUUAAAUCUUGGUGGAGAUUAAGGGUUAAGAAAUAAAUUUAGACUUUGCACACCCCUUUAACUUUUAAAAAGAAAUGAAAAAAUUAAUUAAUUAAUCUUUAUUUUAUUUAUUAAAUGUCAUAAUCCUAUGCGUAUUUUAUUUGUUAUCUUUCUAUUUAAAAGACGAGGGCAGAUAAAACUGAAAUAAAUUUUUAGCCCUAUCUCCAUAUUUCAAGUUCCAUAGUUAGGUGACCAGCUAAAAAAAAUUAAUUGAAAGCUACUCCAUCAAAUUAAAAAAAUUUAUUUAUUUAAUUUGUGGAGAUGUAGAAAAUCAAACCCCAUACCUUUUCGCAUACACUGAACAUAUUUUAAUACAUGACUAUCAUCCUUUAUCCUAAAUACUACUAUAACUAAUAACAUACAAUUGAAAUAAUUAAUGUUAACACUUGGCUAUAAAUAAAGGUUUUGUGCUUGAAUCUUCACGCAUGACCUUCAUUCCUUUAUUGACUUUGCUAACACAGAUUUUGAGGCAUUAAAACUAAAUAAUAAUUGACUUUGUGGGCCGAGGAUGCCAGCAACAAGGAGACCACAAUUAUCACUUAAGUUACUCUAAUUGCCGUUGUCUUAUAUUCAUAGAAUAUUAGUAAUAAGAUUAUUGCAGAAUUUUUUUAAUAUUAAAAUUAAGUCAAUUUGUUAUAACAAAUUUAGUUGAGUUUAAUCGUGUUACUACAUAAAUUGAAUAAUAAUAGAAUUCUCGACAAAUAUUUCAAUAUUUUUAUCCCAAGCGUUGGAGUGGCAUUUAUUUGUUAUACGAUCGAUUUUAGAACUUAUAAAAUUAUUCGUUACUGAAUUGCACCAUAUGCUGCAUGACCUGAAACUUAAUAAACGGAAUGUAGCGUUGGCACCGUUACUCAACAUACUGUUACGACUUUGUGACAUUAGAAUUAAAAUCUUUUGCACAUUUAAUUUGUUUACUUCAAAAUUAAUAUUUAACAAAAUAUUUUUUUCACAUUAUCAAUGGACAAAACUCCAACGAAAAUAACUACACAAGAAAAAUGUAUGCUAGUAUUGUGUGCCAUAUCAUCUGUAAUUUUGUCAGGAUCGAACACUCUAAUUUUUAAGCAGAACUUUUUAUCAAUGGACAAACACCUCACACAGCUUGUCAGAGGCAUUAUUAUGAUAGAAAACUGUAAUGGUAUAUCUUGAAUUAUUGGUAGAAUAGUUCUUUGGAGCAAUAAAAAUAGAUAAGACAGAUGAGAAAAUUGUCAAUACCCCACCGCAAAAGCAAAAGAAAAAAAGGAAAGGAGACAAAAGAGGAAGAAGAAAAAAAGGAAAGGAGACAAAAGAGGAAGAAGAAAAAGAAAAAAGAACGAAGAAAAAAAUGGUGCCGCGCUGUAUUGGGAAGAAGAAAAAAAUUAAUAAAAUAAUAAUAAAUAAUAAAUAAUAAAUAAUAAAAUAAUAGUGCACAACAAUCAUUUGAUUGCUAUAAAUAAAGGGGCAUUUUCCUCAUUUUAUUCAUCGAAUUCUUCAGUUCCUUUCAAGCGAUUUAAGAGUCUAGUGAUUUGAGAGUUUGGGAGUAUUGUGAUUUUGAGUACUAAGUUAAAAUACUAUAAUACUUGUAACUCAUUUUCACUAGUAAAAUAUUUUUCUUCUGUCUUCGCCCGUAGACGUAGGCUAAAAGCUGAACCACGUAAUUUCUGGUGUCCCUAUGUGAUUAUGUGUCUCAUUAUUUCUCAAUUUUACUUUAGUUACGUGUCUGCUACACCCUUCAAUUUACUAACAAAAAUGGCCAAAAUUAUAUAAGUGACCCAAAUUUUUUUGCUAUUUCCAAGAAAUCCCCAAUCGGAAUAGACCAAACUAGAGGGAGGCAAGUUAGAAAUACGUUUCCUUCAUAAACAAUAACAGCGAUGAGUCGAUGACAUCGAGCCACGUCGGUAUCAAUAUUGAAUUAAAGGUGCAAUUAUUCAGCCAAUGAGCCUUACACAUCAAGAUAAAAGUCAAGAAAAUGAAAAAUUUAUCCUAAUUAAAACACUUUCUGGCUGCAUUUAGCUGUUUCUAUUUGAAGUUAAAAACAACAUUUCUUUCGUUUUGUGGGCAACUCGACUGAGUUCGCUGGCUUCUAGUGCUAGUAUGUGAAAAUAGAAGGCUAAUGAUUUAUUUGUUAUCUUUUGACAAAAAAUGUUAAAGAUAUAAUAGAUUUUCCAUGAUACAAAUGAAAAAUUAUAUCAACAUAACUUCCAAGCUACAGCAGCUAGUGUUUACCAAACACUUUGCUGUAGCUUUUAAGCUACAGCUGCCCAACCUCAAUAGGUUGAUUGAAUUUGUGGGAUAUAGAUUCCACAUAUCUCAUGACCUAUUAAUUAUACAAGUGGUUCUUGAUCAAGAACAACAUUUGCUUCCGACCCAGUAACCCAGCAACUGCUGCACUGGUCGCCACCUAUGGUGCCGACGAUAUUGCAUGGUCCAAUUAUGGCCUUGAAUGGAAAAAGUUGAGCAAAUUAUUUGUGGGCACGAUGAUAAGUAACGCAAGCCUUGAUGCUAGUUAUGGUCGAAGAAAACAAGAGGUUAAGAAUACUAUCAGAGAUAUGCAUAACAACAAAAAGGAAAAAAAAAAAAAAAGGCAUUGGCAAGUCAAUUGAUAUUGCUGAAUUGUCGAUUUCAACUUUGGCAUGUGUAAUUCAGACAUUGCGCGUUGUGGUAUGGCGCUGGCACGCUUGCAUUGCCGAGAGGACAAAUCUUGGGGCUGGGCUAAAAUUUAGGCUUGUAGAACUCAUGGUGCUAAUGGGAACGCCAAAUUUUUUUAACAUAUUUCGGUGCUUUCAUGGUUUAAUUCAAGGUAUAGAAAGGAGUGUUGAGAAUGUCAAAUAAAACGACAUUGAAUGGAAGUUGUCAAAGACAUGAUCCGCACUGAACGGCAAUGACACGGUUGGUAAAGAUUUUUUCAUAAUAUGCGUAUCUAAUUUUUGAAAAAUUGUAACCUCUGCUUCUAUAAAUAUGCUCAAUGUAUAAUGUUUUACUUAAGAAAUGAAAAACUUAAUUCUUUAUGGUAUCAGAGCGAGGCUCGUUGCUCUGUUUGUAACAAAAACAAAGAAAACUAAAUUCUUCCCACAACUAUUUUUCCACCUUUUUUUCUUCCUUAAAAGCAUUCCUAGCAUUACAGAAACCCAUGCCAAUAAAAGAACAAGCCACACAUAUGUAAAAACUUUAGUUUACAAAUCUAUCAACAUCCCCAUAAAUUUUCCCAAAAAGUGAUCUUCAAAAACCAAAAAUACCAUCAAUUUUCGCAUCUUCUAGUAAACAAACUAUAAAAGUUUCGCACUCAAACAGAGCCACACGCGCCUCCACGCGCUUCCCGGAAUCACGGCCAACCACCACGCGCCUCUGUCACCACCAACUCACCCUCAUGCGCUCCAGAUGUUGCAGAAGACGCAAAACGACGUGUCGUUUUCUUCUCUAAAAGUGCAGCAACGUGGAAAUGACUUUUUGUUUUUGCCUUAAAUUGUUUUUCCUCGUUUGAAGCUAUACAACAUUUUUCUUUCUAAACCUGUUUUUUACAAUAAAAAAAGAAAAAAAUGGAGAAAACUCCAACUGAAUCUACUCAUGUUGUCAUUCAAUCUGUUCAACCUGAUGGAGUAUUUAAUGCCGAAAUUAUCCUUACUAAGACAAACUACGAUAUUUGAUCUCAAAUAAUGGAGAUGCAUCUCGCAGAAAGAAAAAAACUCCCAUAUAUUCGUAGCAGCAUAAAUCCAUCUGACAAAUUUUCAAAGAAAUAUGAGAAAUGGUAUAGUGAGAACCAAAAAGUAAAAAGAUGGUUACUCAUAACCAUGUGUCCUGAGAUCAUGAAGCGAUAGUUACAAAUUCCUACAGCCUACGAAAUUUAGAAUGCAUUAUCAAAAGCCUUUUAUAAUGGAAGCGAUGAAAUACAAGUUUUCACUCUAAAUCAGAAGGCGUUCUCUACGAAGCAAAAUGGACAACCACUCUCUAAAUUCUACGGAGAAUUGAUCAAAAUGUUUCAAGAACUUAAUCACCGAGAUAAAGUGGUCAUGAAGGAUCCAGAAGAUGUUAUAAUAUAUAGGAAGUUUGUUGGAAGAUUGAGAGUGCACAUUUUUCUUGCUGGACUAGAUGAAGAAUUUGACCAAGUUUGUGGAGAAAUUCUACGAAAAGAUACUAUCCUAGACUUAAAAGAAUGUUAUUCUCUAAUCCGAAAAGAAGAUGUACGGCAAAGCAAACUAACAAGAAGGUGGACGACUCAGAAACGUCUGCUAUGAUACCACAAGAGAACAAUGUUUUGAAAUUGUUCGAUAUCCUGACUGGUGGGAUACUCGAAGUAAUAACACAAAGCAGAGAUAAAAAACUGCAGUAGCUGAAUCCACAUCCACUACAGAUCUUAGAAAAGAAUCUUCAGCGCAAAUUGCAACCUCUGUCAAUUCAGGUAAGGUCAUUAAAACUCUUACAUUUGUUAUUAAUAGUAUAUGGAUAAUUGAUUAUGGUGCAACUGAUCAUAUGACUUUUGAUUCUUGACAAGUUUCUUAAUUGAAACCAUCUUCACAUAAACAUGUUUCUACUGUAAAUAGAACCACAACCUCAGUUAUUGGGGAAGGAUCUUUACAACUCACAAUUAAAUCAAAUUUAGACUUUGUGUUAAUUGUUCCAUCUUUAAAUUAUAAUCUUUUAUAUGUGUCUCAAAUAACCUCUUACUUAUCAUGUGUUGUAAUGUUUUGGCCCGAUCAUUGCAUGUUUAAGGACAUCCAAAUGAAGGAAACGAUUGGUUAUGAUAUUAAAUAAGGCAACUUGUAUUACCUGGAGAUGACAUCAACAAACACUGAAAAGCUAAGCCCCGCAUUAGUAGCAGACAAUUCCAUGAAAAAAAAGGAAAUAAGAAAUUUGGUUAUGGCAUAGACGAUUAGGGCAUGUGUCAUUUGAUUUCUUAAAAAAAUUGUUUCCUAGUUUGUUUCUGAAAUUUGAUAUUUGUAACUUUAAAUAUGAUGUUUGUGAACUUUCAAAUAGCCAUCGAACUACUUUUCCAUUGUCCUUAAAUAAGAAUCCAAUUCCUUUAAUGGUAGUACAUUCUGAUGUAUAGAGACCAUCUAAAGUUUCUACCAUUGGAAGAGCUCGUUGGUUUGUUACAUUUAUUGAUGAUUGUAGCAGAAUGACAUGGAUUUUUUUAUGAAAUUAAAAUCAUAUGAUGGUGACAACUCUAUUUCAGACACAAAUUUGAGUUCUACAUACUGAUAAUGGAGGCGAGUAUAUGAGCACAACAAUUCAACAGUUUUUGAAAUCACAAUGAACUCACCACCAAACCACUUGUGUGGGGACACUCCAACAAAAUGGCGUUGCUAAACAAAAAAAUAGACAUUUACUAGAAGUUGUUCAAGCAUCACUAAUUUAGGCCCGCAUGCCACUAUUUUAUUGGGGAGAAGCAUUGGCAUCCGUAGCAUACUUGAUCAAUCGGACACCUUCAAUCUUCCUUGGAUUCCAAACUUAUUUUCUAGUUCUAAAUGAAGAAUUAUGUCAUCAAAUGUGUCGAAUUUACCCCCACAUAUGUUUGGUUGUGUUGCCUUCGUUCAUUUGCCAUGACAAGAUAAAUUAUCUCCUCGAGCACUACGUUGUGUGUUUGUAGGGUAUGCCUUACAUCAAAAGGGGUACCGAUGCUAUCAUCCUCUAUUAAGAAAAAAUAUACAUCACCAUGGACAUAAUCUUUCAUGAAGAUAUCAUGUAGUACCCAUCGGAGCUUGAAUUUCAGAGGGAGUAUAAUGAAGAGGAAAUUCAUACUCUUACAUAUCUUUCACCUGAAGAAGAUCAAUCCUCCAUUGAGGUAGUAAACGUUCAAGAUACUGGAAAAGAAAACGACAAUGAUUCUCAGGCUGAGACAAGUGAAGACACAUUUAGGGAGCAAAAUAACUCAGACAUAACCACAAUCGAGAACGAGUCCAUGAAGAGCCACAUGAAGAAAUAUCUAACCAAUCAUCUGCAGAGGAUGAUCCUACCACAAAUCCCAGUCUAAUCAGAAGAAUACUUCCCCAGCAUCAAAAUAGAGGUAUCUCUAAACCCACAUAUAAGACUGACCUCUCUAGUAGAGUCAAAUACCCUAUGAGUCAUUUUGUAUCUAACCAUGGCUUAUCAAAAUCAAAUCAGUCAUUUGUGAAUCAAUUAUCUACUGUGUCUAUUCCUAACAGUGUGCAAUAAGCCUUAAAAUAUCGAAAGUGGAAAGGGCUAUGAAUGACGAAAUGAGAUCUCUUUAAAAAAAAUCAAACAUGGGAACUAAUUGAUCUUCCACCAGGAAAGAAACCAGUGGGUUGCCGAUGGAACUAGUUGAUCAUCCACCUCCAUUCUGACAAGCAAUGUUUAUCAGCAAUAACAAAUGACUGAAGCAUUUUAAUGAGGUUAGUAACGAAAAAGAGUUUAAUUAGAGAAUAUUAUAAGAGAAAUUCUAAUUUUUGAUUUUUAAUAAAUUAAAAUAUCUUAAAAUAUUAUUAGUUGGUGGUGGUUUCAUGUCAGAUUAAGACGUGACACCUUACUAAUGAGGUCGAGACAAUUAGCUUAAAUUAUUUCAAUGCAUUUGAAAUUUCCACUAAUGACUAUAAUUCUUUGUCCUAAUUACUAUGAUAAUUAAUAACAUACAAUUGAAAUAGUUAAUAUUAGCACUUGGCAAUAAAUAAUUAAAUUUCAUUAACACUAAAUAAUAAUUGAAUAUGGCUUUGUACAUCGAUGACGCCAGCAACAAGGGGACCGCGAUUAUCACUCUUUAAGUUGCUUUUAAAAUUGAUUUUAGUAGUGAUAUGAUUAUUGUAGUGUUUUUAUUUUUUAUAUUAAAAUUAAGUGAUUUGUUAUAAUAAACUUAGUUGAGUUUAAUGGUAUUACUACAUAAAUUGAAUAGUUAUCAAAUAUUUUAAUAUUUUUAUGGCAAGCGUUGACGUGGCAUUUAUUUGUUGUAUGAUGGAUUUUAAAAUUUAUAAAAUUAUUUGUUAUUAAAUUACCCCCAGAUGCUACAUCACCUGAAACUUAAUAAAGGUAUGAAGACAUGUGUGUGUGGACUGAAAUGAAGAAUAUGGAAAAGUUGAGAGCUGUUGUGCAGAUUGAGUUCAGUUGAUGGGGUCUAUUAGAUAUUGUCUGCUGACGUGGCAUGAAUUCGUUAUAAUCUGUUAUAACGAGUUCAGUAUAUCAGUAUACAAUAGAGCUGAUGGAUGGUGCCUGUUUUAGAGUCUUUUUUAUAUUCAUUUGUUCAUCAUUUUGCGCAAGAUCUGUUCCAUUGUGAUAUGUGUAAAGUCUUAUGUAAACCCACUUAUGAUUGGAUUAGUUCUUGAUUAAUAACAACGAGUAAAUUUUCCUUCAAGUGUGCUGGUCUGUGCCCCUGUUUUUUGUUCUGAUAUUGUUUCUUUGUUCUGGCAUUUCAUUUCGAUUGUGUUCUUGGUGUUUCUACUCAUCAAGAUUUAUGAGUCUUGUUGAGAUUAAAGACUUAAUAGUCUUAACAAGUGGUAUCAGAGCCUGGUGAAUCUCAGCCAUGUCUCUUUCGAAGCAUGAAAUUGAAAAAUUCACCAUUGGUGGUGAUUUCUCGCUUUCGAAAUUAAAAAUGAGGGCUCUCCUUGUGCAUUAGAGGCUUGAAUUUGCUCUGGAAAAAGAUAAUCUAGAGGCUGCUACAAGUUAUGUGACUGAUGAUAAGAAGAGACAAAUCCAAAACCGAGCUCGUAGCACUCUAGUUUUGAGUCUUGGUGACUCAAUCUUGAGAAAGAUUUCUGAAGAGAAGACAACCUUAGGGAUUUGGAACAAGGUAGAAGCUUUGUGUACAAAGAAGUCGCUAGCUCACAGACUAUUCUUGAAGAAAAAGUUAUACACAUUCUCGAUGAGAGAAGGAGUCACAAUUCAAGAUCACAUUGAUACCUUCAACAAGAUCAUUCUUGAUCUUGAAGGGGUGGAAAAUGUGACAAUAAGUGAUGAAGAUAAAGCCUUCUUCUUGUUGAGUUCCUUACCAAAGUCUUAUGAAGGCUUUGUAGAUACAAUGCUUUAUGGCAGAACAACAUUGACUCUUGAAGAUGUUAAAGCAUCUCUAAGUUCAAAAGAGAUUCAGAAGAACAAUGAGAUUGAAACAAAUAAUGGUGAUGGGCUGAUUGCCAGAUCAGAAAAGAAGAAAGAUCAGAAGAAUAAAAAUCAGGGAAAAUGACAUGGAAAGAAUUAAGAAAAUGCAGACAAGAAGAAAAAGAAGAGAAAAUGCUUCUACUGCCGGAAGGAAGGGCAUUACAUCAGGGAUUGUCUUAAAAAGAAAAAAAAAGAAAGUCAAGAGAAGUCAGGGGAUGCAGCUGUAGCCUCUGAUGAUGCCUCUGAUGGAUAUCACAUUGCUGAUUUACUUGUGGCCUCAAAUAGCAAUACUAAAGGUCAGUGGGUCAUAGACUCUGAGUGCUCUUUUCACUUGUGGCCUGAUAAAACCAUAUUUUACAAAUAUGAAGUUGUUGAUGGUGGUAGAGUCUUAAUGGGAAAUAAUAAUGUGUGUAAUCUUGUUGGUAUUGGUUCUGUGAAGAUCAAGAUGUUUGAUGGAACUGUAAGAGCUCUACAUGAGGUGAGGCAUGCUCCUAGGCUAAAGAGAAAUCUAAUCUCUUUAGGCAUGCUAGACAGCUUAGGGUAUUUCUUUAAAUCAGAAAGUGGUGGUUUAGAGAUAAGAAAGGGGACUGAGAUAGUGAUGAAGGGGGUUAAAGAAAAUGGCUUAUAUGUAUUGUAAGGCUCAUCAGUGCUUCUUCAAAAGGGAAUUUCUGCUCUUUUUGAGGAAGAUAUAACCAAGUUAUGACAUCUUAGACUUGGUCAUAUGAGUGUCAAAGGGAUGUAAGAGCUCAGCAAACAAGGGCUACUUGGUGGGGAUAGAAUCCAGCAACUGGAAUUAUGUGAAAAUUGCAUUUUUGGCAAAGCUCACAGGUCCAAGUUUCACAAGGGGGAGCAUAUGUCUAAGCAAGUUUUGGACUAUGCACAUGCUGACCUUUGGGGGCCUGCUCAAGUCCCAUCCUUGAGUGGUGGCAGGUAUUUCAUAUCACUAAUUGAUGAUUACUCAAGGAAGAUGUGGGUCUACAUACUCAAGACCAAAGAUCAAGCCUAGGAAAAAAUUCAAGGUAUAGAAAUCUUUGGUAGAAAAUCAAUUUGGAUUCAAGCUCAAAUGCUUGAGAACUGAUAAUGGUUUGGAAUUUUGUAGCAAAGAAUUUGAGGAAUAUUACAAAAAAACAUGGCAUAAAAAGGCACAAAACAGUCAGGUUCACCCCCCAGCAGAAUGGCUUGGCUGAAAGGAUGAACAUGACCUUGGUAGAUAAGACCAGAUGUAUGUUGAUAAAUUCAAAGCUUCCAAGAAGCUUUUGGGCAGAAGCUGUCAAUACAACAAGUUGUUUGGUUAACAGAAGCCCAUAUUCUGCAAUUGGCUUCAAAACACCAGAAGAAUUGUGGAAGGAAAAACCUGUAAAUUACCAAAAUCUCAGUGUUUUUGGAUGCCCUGCUUAUCUCCACAUCAAUCAAGGCAAGCUGGAAGCUAGGGCCUUGAAAGGAGUCUUUGUUGGAUAUCCUGAUGGGGUUAAGGGAUACAUAAUCUGGUGUAGAGAGUAAGGGAAGUGUAUAGUCAGCAGGGAUGUUGUGUUUCAUGAAUUUGGAUUGCUAAAAGAAAAUGCAGAGAAUGAUACUAGACUACAAAAUGAUUCAAUAAUUAUCAAACAAUCUGGAACUUCCAAGGUUAAGGUGGAGCUGUUUGGAAAUAAAGACAGUAGAAAAGAGGUAGCUGAUUAUGAAGAGAGGACCACAGCUAAAGUUGAGGAACAUGAGUCAUCAGAGUUGCCACAAGCUGACUUGCAGACUUAUCAGUUAGCAAGAGAUAGAGUUAGAAGAGAAGUCAAAGCACUAGUGAGGUAUGGCUAUGCUGACUUAAUUACUUAUGCAUUGUUGUGUGCUGAUGAUGUGGCAAUUGAAGAGCCUGCUAACUUCUCUGAAGUUAUUGAAAGUGUGCAUUGUGAUAAGUGGCUUGAGGCAAUGCAAGAUGAAAUGGGAUCCCUUCAAAGAAAUCAGACCUGGACACUUGUUCCAAAUCUAGGUAAUAAAAAGUUGAUCAGUUGUAAGUGGAUCUUCAAGAAGAAUGAAGGAAUUCCAGAUGUUGAACCUCCCAAAUAUAAAGCAAGGCUAGUGGCUAGGGGGUUUACACAGAGAAAGAGUGUAGAUUUCAAUGAAAAAUUUUCCCCUGUUCUUAAGCACAUUUCAAUAAGAAUUUUAUUAGUCAUGGUAGCCUUACUUGACUUGGAGCUUGAGCAAAUGGAUGUAAAAACAGCAUUCCUUCAUGGUAAUCUUGAAGAACAGAUAUUGAUGGCACAACCUAAAUGUUUUGAGUGCAAAGGAAAUGAGGAUUAUGUUUGUUUGCUGCAUAAGUCCUUGUAUGGACUCAAGCAAUCCCCACGACAGUGGUACAUAAGAUUUGAUGAUUUUAUGGUCUCAAAAGGCUAUCACAUAAGCAAAUAUGACAGUUGUGUUUACUUUGGUGGAUCAUAUCAAGGUGGAGUUGCUUAUUUGCUUCUGUAUGUUGAAGAUAUGUUAAUUGCAAGAAAAUAUAAGUUGGAGAUAGAGAGGUUGAAGAAAUGAAGGAUCUCGGCAAUGCCAAAAGAAUCCUUGGGAUGAACAUUACAAGGGGCAGAUCUGCUGACACUUUGUUCUUGAGUCAUGAGAAAUAUAUCAAGAAGGUUCUGGAGAGGUUUGAGAUGCAAGACUAUAAACCUGUCCAAACACCACUUGGUCCCCAAUUCAAGUUGACAGCAGCUCAAUCAUCAGAAGAUGAGUCUCAGGUGAGUGAAUUCCCAUAUGCACAGGUUGUAGGGAGCCUGAUGUAUGUAAUGGUAUGCACCAGGUCAGAUAUAGCUUAUGCAGUAAGUGUUGUCAGCAAAUUUCUCAGUUGUCUAGGCAAGGUUCACUGGAAUGUUGUAAAAUGGAUAAUGAGAUAUCUUAAGGGCUCUUUUACUUGUGGUUUGCUGUAUGGGAAGACUAAGAGUGACAUAAGUGAAGUCCUGGGGUUUGUAGACUCUGACUUUGCUGGAGAUCUUGAUAGAAUGAAGUCAACCUCAGGGUAUAUGUUUGUGUUAAACAGUUGCCUGAUUAGCUGGAAGUCAUCACUUCAGUCUGUGGUUGCUUUAUCCUCAACUGAAGCUGAGUUUGUUGCAACUACAGAGGCAGUAAAAGAGGCCAUGUGGCUAAGAGGUUUGCUUAAUGAGUUAUGGUUAAAUCAGAAAAUUGUUCAGGUUUUCUGUGAUAACCAAAGUGUCAUACACCUGGUAAAGAAUCAGAUGUAUCAUGAAAGAACCAAGCACAUUGAUGUGAAGCUCCAGUUUAUCAGAGAUGAGGUUGGAAAAGGAACUAUAAUUGUGUCCAAGAUCUAUACCAGUGUGAAUCCAACUGAUGUUAUUACAAAAGCACUUCCCACUGCAAAAUUUGAAUUCUAUGUGAAUCUAAUGGGCAUCUCGCCCAAACCUAACUAAAUUCAAUAGUGAAUUGUAGUUGAAUGAAGGUUUUUUAGGUGCUGUGUUAUUGAAAGGAUCAACUGAAUCAACUGCAAGGUGGAGAAUGUGAAGAUGUGUGUGUGGACUGAAAUGAAGAAUAUGAAAAAGUUGAGAGCUGUUGUGCAGAUUGACUUCAGUUGAUGGGGUCUAUUAGAUAUUGUCUGCUGACGUGGUAUGAAUUCGUUAUAAUCUGUUAUAACGAGUUCAAUAUAUCAGUAUAUAAUGGAGCUGAUGGAUGGUGCCUGUUUUAGAGUCUUUUUCGUAUUCAUUUGUUCAUCAUUUUGCACAAGAUUUGUUCCAUUGUGAUCUGUGUAAAGUCUUCUGUAAAUCCACUCAUGAUUGGAUUAGUUCUUGAUCAAUAACGAGUAAAUUUUCCUUCAAGUGUGCUGGUCUGUGCCCCUGUUUUUGGUUCUAAUAUUGUUUCUUUGUUUUGGCAUUUCAUUUCGAUUGUGUGCUUGGUGUUUCUACUCAUCAAGAUUUGUGAGUCUUGUUGAGAUUAAAGGCUUAAUAGUCUUAACAAAAGGGAAUGUAGCAUUGCCAUUAAUCAACAUUCACUCUUAUGACUUUAUGACAUUAGAAUUAAAAUCUUUCGUACAUUUAAUUUAUUUGCUUCCAAAUUAAUCUUUAAUAAAUAUUUUUUCACAUUAUCAUCAAUGGACAAAACUCCAACGAAAAUAACUACACGAGAACAAUUUAUGCUAGUAUUAAAUGCCACGAUAUCUAUAACUUUGUCUGGAUCGAUCAUUCUAAUUUUUUCGCAGAACUUUUUGUCAAUGGACAAACACCUCACAGAGCUUGUCAGCCGCAUUAUUACGAUGUAAAAUUGUACCGGAAUAUCUUGAAUUAUUAGUAGAAUAAUGAAGACUAUUUGGGGCAAUAAAAACAAAUAACGCAGAUAAAAAAAUGGCUAAAAUUAUGUAAGUGAGCCCCAAAGUUUUUGCUAUUUCCAGGAAAUCCCAAAUUUGAAUGGACUAGAGGGAGGCACGUAAGAAAUACAUUUUCUUCCUAGACAAUGACAGCUAUGACAUCAAGCCACGGUGGCGUCAGUAUUGAAAUUAAGGUGUAAUUAUUCAGCCAAUGAGCCUUACACAUCAAGAUAAAAGUCAAGAUAAUGAAAAUUUGGCUGUUUCCAUUUGAAGUUAAAAGCAACGUUUCUUUCGUUUUGUGGGCGACUCGACUGAGCACGCCCCAAUAGCUAUAUUUAGGGCGUCAAUUUGAUAUUUGAAUGGACAGGCAAGUAAGAAAUACAUUUCCUUCAUAGACAAUGACAACGAGGACAUCAAGCCACAUCAUUAUAGUUUGUAGCCCAUCUACAUUUAAACGAUUAAUAAACAAGCUUAGGUGUGCCACUGCUAUUAUUAAUUAUCCCCUGAUCAUUAUAGUUUCUGAAACAGUAAAACUAAACGAAAUUGAAUACAUCAACGAGACCGCAAUUAUCACUUGUUUAGUUGCGGUAUUUAACUUAAUUUUAAUAUAAUAUAUUUGUUAGUUAAACUUUUAAUAAUCAAAUAAUUUUGAUUUAAAAAUAAAAUUAUAGAAAUUAUUAAUUAUUAAUUAUUAAAAAUUCACAAUUAAGGGAACGUUCAUCAAACACACAUAGCUAUUGUUUUCUCUAUAUAUUGCAGUGUGUACGAUAUUGAGGGUUGAAGCCCCAAGCAUGCUCUAAAAUCCAGAUAAUAAUUAGAUCCGGGCCAAAUAUUCAUCAUUGUGUCAGCUGAUCAGUCGGUGGACAUCUCUAUUGAAAAUAUCUCUGACAUUUCACUCGACAAACUUAUUAAUAUAAAAAAUCUGUGGUUUUGCCGUCUGAAUAAUGUAGAAAAAUUUGUCUAUGCAUUAAUCUAGAUGUUUGAGGUGAUUUAUACAUCUGUGGUAAAGAUUUAUAGGUUGACUUAGACGUCUGUGGUAUAGAUUUUAUGUAUUUCAUUACAAAAUGCUGGCCGUUAGAACCCUUUCUACAUCUAUUUAUAAGAUUAACGGGUGCCAGCUAUGCCAUUACAAAUUAUCCCCUCAUCAGAUAUUUCGUUAAAAUUCAUUCUGAAACACUAAAACUAAAUAAUCGAAUAUGGCUUUGCGGGUCGAUGAUGCCAGCAGCAAUGAGACUGCAAUUAUCACUUGUUUAGUUUCUGUGCUGGCCGUGGUUUACUUCGCAUGGAAUGUGAAAAAAUCAAGGAAAGCAAAUGCUACACUGCCACCAGGACCUCGCGGCUUGCCUGUAUUCGGAUACCUCCCAUUUCUUGGAACUACUGACUUGCACAAGAAAUUCACGGAAUUAUCCGGAGUUUAUGGUCCGAUCUUCAAGCUUUGGCUUGGAAAUAAAUUAUGUGUAGUGGUGAGCUCACCUUCCCUAAUUAGACAAGUGGUUCGUGAUCAAGAUACAACAUUCGCGAACCGUGACCCACCGAAGGCUGCACUAGUGGUCUCCUAUGGUGGCAAUGAUAUUGCAUGGUCCAAUUACGGUCCCGAAUGGAGAAAGUUGCGCAAAUUUUUUGUGGGCAAGAUGAUGAAUAACGCAAGCCUUGAUGCUUGUUAUGCUCUAAGAAGACAAGAGGUUAAAAAUACUAUCAGGGAUUUGUAUAACAACGACAACAAAAUUGGCAAGCCCAUUGACAUUGGUGAAUUGUCGUUUUCAACAUUGGUAUGUGCUAUACAGAACAUGCUGUGGGGUGAAGCGCUUGAAUUAAAAGAGAAAGGGACCACUAAUCUUAGGGCUGGGCUAAAAUUUAAGCUGGCAGAACUCAUGGUGCUUGCGGGAACACCGAAUAUUUCGGAUGUCUUUCCAAUGCUUUCAUGGCUUGACAUACAAGGUAUAGAGAGGAGAGCAAAGAAGAUUUCACUCUGGCUUGAUAAUGUUAUAAAUUCUACUGUUGAACAGCAUAGAAACAAGGAGUUAACUGUUGAAGGUGAAGAAAGAGCGGGGAAAAAUUUUGAAGGAUCAAGGAACAAGAACUUCUUGCAGUUACUAUUGGAGCUUCAAGAAAAUGAUGACAGUGCUUCCUCAAUUAGCAUGAACCAAUUCAAGGCCGUACUCGCGGUAUGUUAAGCAACUAGCCACGAACAGUUAUACAAGCACAAUUGUAUAUUUGCAUGAGUGAUAUUUUCAACCUUUUUUUUUAAUUAGAAUUUUAUUGUCACCUUUUGGACAGGAUAUAAUUACGGCUGGAACCGACACCACAACUACGAUGGUGGAAUGGACAAUGGCAGAGUUGAUGCAGCAUCCACAAGUAAUGAAGAAAGUUCAGGAAGAAUUAGCUCAAGUUGUGGGCAUGGACAGUUGUGUUGAAGAAUUUCACCUGUCUAGAUUAAUGUAUUUAGAUGCUGUGGUGAAGGAAACAUUUCGUCUGCAUCCUGCAGUGCCUUUAUUACUACCACGUAGGGCAAGCGAGAGUGGCAACAUUGGUGGCUAUACCAUUCCCAAAGAUACAACUCUUAUGUUGAAUGUUUGGGCUAUCCACAGGGACCCUCACCUUUGGGAUAAUCCCUUAGAAUUUCGACCCGAGAGGUUUCUGAAUGUUGGUAUCGAGAGUAAGUUCGAUUACUCAGGUAACAAUUUUCAGUACUUGCCAUUUGGUUCUGGUAGAAGGAUGUGUGCUGGGAUUCCUCUAGCUGAGAGGAUGCUGAUGUUUGUUUUGGCUUCGUUAUUGCACUCAUUCGAGUGGGAAUUGCCAACUGGCACAAAGCUAAACUUAUCAGAAAAAUUUGGGAUUGUCAUUAAGAAAAAAGAGCCUUUGGUUGCUAUUCCAACACCAAGACUAUCCAAUUCAGAGCUCUACCAUUAAGACCAAAUGGUUGUGAUGAUUUUGUUAAUUUCCGAAGAUUUGUAUGUUAUUUCAAGUUCAAUCGUAGUAAAAUAUUUCAAAUAAGAGUCCUCCGUUGCUUUUUUUUUUUUUUUUCAACGGCAUAAUCUGUGGUCAUGCUUGUAUUUGGAGCCACUUUAGAAAAAUUAUGUUUGAAUUACAAUUUAUAAAUAUUACAUUUUAAAAUAUUAUGAGGCUAAAUUUAUACACGUUCAAUAACCCGCUUCAUAUAUAUUUAACACAAUUUAUAUCAUACAUUGUACACCCAUUUAUCAUAAAUUACACUAUUUUGUAUCUCUAAAUAAUAUUACGUAUUGAUAUUAUAAAAUAUAUAUGGAAAAGAGAACAAAGAAGAUUUCUUAUGGUUUGAAAAUAUUAUGAAUUCUGCUGUUGAACAGUAUGGAAACAAGGUCUCUGUUGUUAAAGGUGAAGAAGCAACAGGGAACAAUAUUGAAGGAAGAAAUUUCACAUGUUUAGUUGCUGAAUUUGCCGCUGUAUUCUAUCGGUAGUAAAAAAAUUAGAGUUUUUAUUUUUCUCUAUUAAUGUUAAGUCAAUUUUCUAUAACAAAUUCGGUUGAGUUUAAUUGUGUUACAAUAUAAAUUGAAUGAUAAUAGAAUUUUCAACGAAUAUUUCAAUAUUUCUAUCUCGAUUGUUGAAGUGCCAUUUAUUUGUUAUGCGAUCGAUUUUAAAAUUUAUAAAAAUUAUUUGUUACUAAAUUGCAUCAUAUGCUAAAAUCACCUGAAACCUAAUUCCAUAACUAACCCUUUAUUUUUAGUUCUCAAGAAAUCUUGUAAGAACAAAAUUCUUUUAUAACAAAACUUUUACAACACAUUAAUUUGUAACUCAUUCCUGUGCGAGAAUCACUCUCAAAUUCCUUCAAUUGCUGUUGAACAAUCAUCUGCUUAUCAAAAUUCAAGCAUAAUCUUUUCUUUUUUUUAAUUUCUUCAUCAUUCUUUUGAAAAAAAAAAAUCAGGAUAUGCUGUUAAAAUUUUGAAAUAAAUUAUCUCAAAAUAAUUACUAACCAGAAAAAACAAAGGGGUUUAACUAGGUUAUGCAUACCUUUGAAAAUUAUAUGUUGAUCGAUAAGAAUGAUGAUCACGAUUGAGGAGUUUAAUUAAAAUAUAUAAGAUUUUAAAAUUAAUCAGGGUUAAAUUGUGAAUUUUAGAAAGAGAGGUUUUGUGAGAAUGCUGAAAGGGUGUUAAUAGUUCCACUCUUUUUAAAAGCAACCAUAGUCAUCAUUUUUCCCGAUUUCUUCUUCCCAUCUCCAUCUUAUUUAGAAAUUUCCCAGAGCCUUUGUUUCCCACCUUUCAUUGUUCUUCUUUCUAAUUUAAUACUAUAGGAUUACAAAAAUAAUUACUCACAUUUUAUCAAACACCUCCAUUCUACCAAGGCCUUGUUUUAGUAGUAGGCUUUUAUUAUCUCAAUAAAAUUGAAAAAACAAAUCUCAAUAAUAUUGGAAAAAAAAAACCUACCCAUAUUUGUAACUUUAAUUUAUUAUUCUCCAUAGACCUACUUUUUAGCUUUGAAUUUUGUUGGAGCCAUAUAUAAACAGAAUAUGUUGAAUCAGCACCAAAAAAAAAAAAAAAAAACUAAUUAUAUAAUUUCUGUUCCCAAGGACAUGACUGAUUGAUUUUCAAGAAGUUUUGUUUGGCUGGCUACUUAGGUUUAAAUCUUGGUGGAGAUUAGGGGUUAAGAAAUAAAUUUGGACUUUGCACACCCCUUUAACUUUUAAAAAGAAAUGAAAAAAACUAAUUAAUUAAUCUUUAUUUUAUUUAUUAAAUAUCAUAAUCCUAUGCGUAUUUUAUUUGUUAUCUUUCUAUUUAAAAGACAGGAGGGCAGAUAAAACUGAAAUAAAUUUUUAGCCCUAUCUCCAUCUUUCAAGUUCCAUAGUUAGGUGACCAGGUAAAGAAAAUUAAUUGAAAGCUACUCCAUCAAAUUAAAAAAUUUUAUUUAUUUAAUUUGUGGAGAUGUAGAAAAUCAAACCCCAUGCCUUUUCGCGUGGAAAAGUGUCAACCUGGUCUAGCUAUGUUGCAAAAGUGAACAUAUUUUAAUACAUGACUAUCAUCCUUUAUCCUAAAUACUACUAUAACUAAUAACAUACAAUUGAAAUAAUUAAUGUUAACACUUGGCUAUAAAUAAAGGUUUUGUGCUUGAAUCUUCACGCAUGACCUUCAUUCCUUUAUUUACUUUGCUAACACAGAUUUUGAGGCAUUAAAACUAAAUAAUAAUUGACUUUGUGGGCCGAGGAUGCCAGCAACAAGGAGACCACAAUUAUCACUUGUUAAGUUACUCUAAUUGCCGUUGUCUUAUAUUCAUAGAAUAUUAGUAAUAAGAUUAUUGUAGAAUUUUUUUAUAUUAAAAUUAAGUCAAUUUGUUAUAACAAAUUUAGUUGAGUUUAAUCGUGUUACCACAUAAAUUGAAUAAUAAUAAAAUUCUCGACAAAUAUUUCAAUAUUUUUAUCCCAAGCGUUGGAGUGGCAUUUAUUUGUUAUACGAUCAAUUUUAGAAUUUAUAAAAUUAUUCGUUACUGAAUUGCACCAUAUGCUGCAUGACCUGAAACUUAAUAAACGGAACGUAGCGUUGGCACCGUUACUCAACAUACUGUUACGACUUUGUGACAUUAGAAUUAAAAUCUUUUGCACAUUUAAUUUGUUUACUUCCAAAUUAAUAUUUAACAAAAUAUUUUUUCACAUUAUCAAUGGACAAAACUCCAACGAAAAUAACUACACAAGAAAAAUGUAUGCUAGUAUUGUGUGCCAUAUCAUCUGUAAUUUUGUCAGGAUCGAUCAUUCUAAUUUUUAAGCAGAACUUUUUAUCAAUGGACAAACACCUCACACAGCUUGUCAGAGGCAUUAUUAUGAUGGAAAACUGUAAUGGUAUAUCUUGAAUUAUUGGUAGAAUAGUUCUUUGGAGCAAUAAAAACAGAUAAGACAGAUGAGAAAAUUGUCAAUACCCCACCGCAAAAGCAAAAGAAAAAAAGGAAAGGAGACAAAAGAGGAAGAAGAAAAAGAAAAAAGAACGAAGAAAAAAAUGGUGCCGCGCGGUAUAGGCAAGAAGAAAAAAUAAUAAUAAAAUAAUAAAAUAAUAGUGCACAACAGUCAUUUGAUUGCUAUAAAUAAAGGGGCAUUUCCCUCAUUUUAUUCAUCGAAUUCUUCAGUUCCUAAGCGAUUUAAGAGUCUAGUGAUUUGAGAGUUUGGGUAUAGUAUAGUUUUGAGUAGUGAGUUAAAAUAUUACAAUACUUAUAACUUAUUUUUACUAAUAAAAUAUUUUUCUUCUAUCUUCACCCGUGGACGUAGGGUCAAAGCCGAAUCACAUAAUUUUUAGUAUCCCUAUGUGAUUAUGUAUCUCAUUAUUUUUCAAUUUUACUUUAGUUACGUGUCUGCUACAUCCUUCAAUUUACUAACAAAAAUGGCCAAAAUUAUAUAAGUGACCCAAAUUUUUUUGCUAUUUCCAAGAAAUCUCCAAUCUGAAUGGGCCAGACCAGAGGGAGGCAAGUUAGAAAUACGUUUCCUUCAUAGACAAUAACAGCGAUGAGUCGAUGACAUCGAGCCACGUCGGUAUCAAUAUUGAAUUAAAGGUGCAAUUAUUCAGCCAAUGAGCCUUACACAUCAAGAUAAAAGUCAAGAAAAUGAAUAUUUAUCCUAAUUAAAACACUUUCUGGCUGCAUUUAGUUGUUUCCAUUUGAAGUUAAAAGCAACGUUUCUUUCGUUUUGUGGGCAACUCGACUCAGUUAGCUGGCUUCUAGUGCUAGUAAGUGAAAAUAGAAGGCUAAUGAUUUAUUUGUUAUCUUUUGAUAAAAUUAUUAAAGAUAUAAUAGAUUUUUCAUGAUACAAAUAAAAAAUCACAUCAACAUAGCUUCCAAAGUACAACAGCUAAUGUUUACCAAACACUUUGUUGUAGCUUUUAAGCUACAGCUGCCCAACUUUAAUUUCAAAUGCACCCUUAAUAGGUUGAUUGAAUUUGUGGGAUAUAGAUUCCACAUAUCGUAUGACCUAGUAACUAUACAAGUGGUUCGUGAUCAAGACACAACAUUUGCUUCCGGCCCGGUGACCCAGCAAUCGCUGCAUUGGUCGCCACCUAUGGUGCCAACGAUAUUGCAUGGUCCAAUUGUGGCCUUGAAUGGAAAAAGUUGAGCAAAUUAUUUGUGGACACGAUGAUAAGUAACGCAAGCCUUGAUGCUAGUUAUGGUCCAAGAAAACAAGAGAUAUGCAUAACAACAAAAAGGAAAAAAAAAAAAAAAAAAAAAAAGGCAUUUGCAAGCCCAUUGAUAUUGGUGAAUUGUCGAUUUCAACUUUGGCAUGUGUAAUCCAGAGCCUGCGCGCUGUGGUGUGGCGCUGGCACGCUUGCAUUGACGAGGGGACAAGUCUUGGGGCUGAGCUAACAUUUAAGCUCGCAGAACUCAUGGUGCUAAUGGGAACACCAAAUAUUUUUUGACAUAUUUUGGUGCUUUCAUGGUUUAAUUCAAGGUAUAGAAAGGAGUGUUGAGAAUGUCAAAUAAAACGGUAUUGAAUGGAAGUUGUUAAAGACACGAUCCGCACCGAACGACAACAGCACGGUUGCUAAAAAUCCUUCCGUAAUAGGCAUAUCUAAUUUUUGAAAAAGUGUAACCUCUACAUUUAUAAAUAUACUCAAUGUAUAAUGUUUUACUUAAGAAAUGAAAAACUUGUUUGUUCAAGGAGAAUAAAGAAAAAUUUUCUAUGAUUUUUCUAUGGUUUGAACAAAGAAGGUUUUAACGAGUAUUAUAGACCUCGAUUGAAUGUUCGAAUGUAUAAUAAAAGAGAAACUGUCACAUAAAUGACAAAGAUACUUGAAAAAAAAAAAAAAGGGCAGCAAUAGAGAAUUAGAUCCGACUGUACAAAUAACUAGUUAAUUCAUCGAUACAUCAUUUUCUUGCUAGAAAAUGACAAUUAUGACAGCAAGCCACGAUAGUGUCAAUAUUGAAAUUGAUUUGCAAUUAUUCAGCCUAUGAGCCUUACACGUCAAGAUAAAAGUCAAGAAAAUGAAAGUUAAUAUCAAUUAAAACACUUCCAUUUCUAUGUGAAGUUAAAAAACAACGUUUCUUUUGUUUUGUGGGGGAUUCAACUGAGCACGCGCCACUAGCUAGCUGGCUUCUAGUUCUAGCAUAUGAAAACAGAAUUCUAAAGAUUUCACUUUCACCUUUUUUCUUUUUUUGGGGUUUUGAAUCAAAGUCAAGGUCGCACUGAAUAAUAUGUAAAAUUUGAAAAAGAAGAAUUAAUAGAGAACAAAGUUUUGUUUUAAAUUCACAUGGUGUGCAUACAAUUCAACAAACACUUCCUAUAAUAAAUCUGGAGUUGUAUCCCACGUUGAACAAUAAAGGAAAGUCACCUAAAUAUACAUGUAGGAUAAGUUACUUUAUUUAGUAAGUUUGUAUUUUCUUCUUUCUUCUAGUUUACAUAUAAAUUUGAUUAGAUAACUUAACACAUAUUUUAAUACUUGAUCAGAAGCCCGACGUACAGGUGGAUCUAGAAACUUGAUUUCUAAGAGUAAUACUAUAAUAAAAAAAUAAUGAUUCAUAGAACCAAUAUCAAAAUUUGUUUACAAGAUUGCCCCCACUCAAAGGUAAUUUUCAUAGAAAUUAAUAGGAAAUUUAAUUGUUAGUGGGGUCAAAUUGCCCCCACACUCUGAAUGUAGAUCCACGCCCGACCCUGAGUCAAGUAUAUUUUGCCACAUAUACUCUGAAUGUCGGCAGGAAAAAUCUUCCACUUUAGUUAAAAAUUUUCACUUAAAAAAUAUUUAUGUUAAUAAAGUUCGUAAAGGAAAUGAGUUUAAUUAAUGAAUAUUAUAGGAGAAAUUAAAGGAAAUGAGUUUAAUUAAAGAAUAUUAUAGGAGAAAUUCUAUUGUUCGGCUUUUAAUAAAUUAAUUAAUAGGUUUAAAAGAUUAAUAUACAUCAAAAUAUUAUUAGUUGGUGGGGGUUCCACAUCGGACUAAUACGUGUCACCUUACUUGUGAGAUUAAGACAAUCGACUUAGACUAUUUAAAUAUGUUUGAAGCUUAGAUGGCACCGCUUCAAUUUGCAUUACUGAAUGUCAUUCUUUAUCCUAAUUACUACCGUAAUUGAUAACAUGCAAUUGAAGUAACUAAUAUUAGCACUUGGCUAUAAAUGAACUAAAGGCCGUGCAAUUGAAUCUUUACUUGAUCACUUCACUCCUUUAUUUUGCUAACACAGAUUUUGAGAUAUUAAAACGAAAUAAUAAUUGAAUCUGGCUUUGUGGGUCGAUGAUGCUAGCAAAAACGAGACCACAAUUAUCACUUGUUUAUUUGCUGUAUUUGACGUUGUUUCAUAUUGGUAGUAAUAGGGUCAGUUUUUAAUCUUUUUAUAUUAAAGUUAAGUCAAUUUGUUAUCAAAAAAAAAAAUUGGUUGAGUUUAAUUAUAUUGCUAUGUACAUUAAAUAAUUAUAAUAUUCUUGAGGGAAAAAGACACCUAGAACCUCAAGGUUUGGGGAAAUGGUCACAAAGACUCCUAAGUUUUAAAAAAGGAACACUAAGAUCUUUUUUUACCCAUAAUACCCUUUGACUAGAGUAAUUAAAAAAUUGACUUUAAAGGUUUUUAAAUAAUUCUAAUUUAAUAUAAAUCAUAUAAUCUAUCUAGUAAACUAAUAAUAUUAAAUUAUUUUUUAUAUUUAAAAUAAUGUUAAAUUUUAAAUUAUUAUAUUUAUAAAAUUAUAAAGAUUUUAAAUAAAUAUUUGGAUUGAAUAUAUUUUACAAUUAAAAGUCUUCCUAUUAAUAAUAUUAAAAUUUAAUUUUACAAAAUAUAUAUUCAAAAUAUUUUUAAUUUUAAUUUAUUUAUUUUAAUAUUAUGUUUCUACCUAUUAUUAAAAAUUACUUUAAUAUAAUAAAAUAGGUCUAAUAGAUUGAAAAAUAUGAAAAUAUUUUUAAAAUUUUAAAUUAUUUUGAAAUGUAUAUAUUAUUACAUUUAUUUCAAUGUCAUAUUUUCAUUUAUUAUAAAAUUUUGGGGUUAUUUUUUUGGGAAUUUAUAGAGUCAAAGAGCAUUAUAAUUUAAUCCAUGCACAAUAUCUAUAAUUAUAUCGGUUGUCGGCUGAUUUCGUGGAGGGGGCGGCAGUUCAAAAUUUUUACGUGCAUGUUGGAUGGACGUCUCUAUUAAAGGAGAGCCACCACUUGCAUGGUAAUUUUUUUAAAUAAAUAUAUACAUUUCAAAACAUUAUUUUCUUGUUGUAUAGUUAACAUGUCACCUUAGAUGUAUUUUAGAGCUUCUCCUAUUAAAGAUAAUCUCAUGCAGUGUUACAGAGUAUGGUAAUAUGGUAUAGAUGAGAGCAUCUGAUUAAAUGAAGCAGCUGGUAAUGCUUACGUGUGUGAGUUAGUUAUCCAGCUCAGCAGCAAAGCAAACGAAAUGAAUUGCAUGCAUAUUAGAUCCAACAAACUGGUAAACUCUAGAUUCUUCUUUCAUUUAGUAUAAAUACCAAGUUGUUAUCAUUUGCUAAAUAUAUAAUAAGAUGAUCAUUUUCAGAUCUUUCCUUUAUAAUUUUCUAUAACUUUCUCGUUAGUUUCUCUUGAACCAAACACUUUGUACGAACUCUUUCGUGCAGUGAUACUUCUCGUGAUCUAAUCAUUAGUAGAAUCUAUAAUUUCGCUACUGUAAUAAAAUCUGUCACUACCCUAUAUGAAUGUAGAUAUUUGACGCGAUUUGUAAUUGCUUCCGACAGGAAAACAGCAAUAGUUUUAUUGAAAUUUGUGGUAUAGAUUCCACGAAUCUUAUGACAGAAUACUGACCACUCCAACCCUAUCCGCAUUUACACGAUUAAUACACAAGCUUAGAUGUGACAAUGCAUUUGUCACUCAUUCAAAUUCAUCCUGAAACACUAUACACUAAAUAAUCGAAUAUGGCUUCGUGGGUCGAUGAUGCUAGCAGCAACGAGACUGCAAUUAUCACUUGUUUUGUUGCUGUACUUGUCGUGGUCUAUUUCGCAUGGAAUGUAAACAAAUCAAGUAAAGCAAAUGCUAAAUUGCCACCAGGACCUCGGGGCUUGCCAGUAGUCCGAUACCUCCCAUUUCUUGGAACUACUGACUUACACAAGACAUUCACGGAGUUAUCUGGAGUUUAUGGUCCGAUCUUCAAGAUUUGGCUUGGGAAUAAAUUGUGUGUAGUGGUGACCUCGCCUACCCUAGUUAAACAAGUGGUCCGUGAUCAAGAUAUAACAUUCUCAAACCGCGACCCACCGAUCGCUGGAACUGUGACCACCUACGGUGGCAAUGAUAUUGCACUUUCCAAUUACGGUCCCGAAUGGAAAAAGUUGCGAAAAUUAUUUGUGAGCAAGAUGAUGAGUAAUGAGACCCUUGAUGCUUGUUAUGCUCUAAGAAAACAAGAGGUUAAAAAUACUAUCAGGGAUUUGUAUAACAACAAUAAGGAUAAUAUUGGCAAUGGCAAUGGCAAGCCCAUUGACGUUGGUGAAUUGUCGAUUUCAACUUUGGUACGUGUUAUGCAGAACAUGCUGUGGGGUCAAGCAUUGGAAACAAGAGAGAAAGAGAUUACUAAUCUCGGGGCUAAUCUUGCAGAACUCAUGGUGCUACUGGGAACACCAAAUAUUUCGGAUAUUUUUCCAGUGCUUUCAUGGCUUGACAUGCAAGGUAUAGAGAGAAGAGCUAAGAAGAUUUCUCUAUGGUUUGAAAAUAUUAUCAAUUCUGGUGUUGAACAGUAUAGAAACAAGUUCUCUGUUGUUAAAGGUGAAGAAGCUGCAGCACGAAAAAAUAUUGAACGAUCAAGAAAUAAGGACUUCUUGCAGUUGCUGUUGGAGCUUCAGGAAAAUGAAGAUAGUGCUUCAUCUAUUAGCAUGAACCAACUAAAGGCCGUGCUCGUGGUAUGUUAAGCAACUAGACACAAAAAGUUGUAAAAGCACAGCGAUAUAUUUGCGCGAGGCCCCGAGUGAUGUUUUGCCUCGAGAACUCUCAAUUUUAUCUUACGGUAAAAAAUGUUUUUCAACUUUUUUUUUUAAUUAGAAUUUUAUUGCAAUUUAUUUAACAGGACAUAAUUGUGGCCGGAACCGACACCACAACUACGAUGGUGGAAUGGACAAUGGCAGAGUUGAUGCAACAUCCACAAGUAAUGAAGAAAGUUCAAGAAGAAUUCGCUCAAGCUGUGGGCAUGGACAGUUGUGUUGAAGAAUAUCACUUGCCUAAAUUAAAGUAUUUAGAUGCUGUGGUGAAAGAAACAUUUCGUUUGCAUCCUGCGUUGCCCUUAUUGGUACCUCGCACGGCAAGCAAGAAUAGCAACAUUGGUGGCUAUACCAUUCCCAACGACACUAAUCUUAUGUUGAAUGUUUGGGCUAUCCACAGGGACCCUCAACUUUGGGAUAAUCCCUUAGAAUUUCGACCUGAGAGGUUCUUGAAUGAUGGUAUCAUAAGCAAUUUCAAUUACUCGGGUAACAAUUUUCAGUACUUGCCAUUUGGUUCUGGUAGAAGGAUGUGCGCUGGGAUUGCUCUAGCUGAGAGGAUGUUGAUGCUUGUUCUGGCUUCGUUGUUGCACUUGUUUGAGUGGAAAUUGCCCUCGGGCACAAAGCUAGACUUAUCUGAAAAGUAUGGGAUUGUCAUGCGGAAAAAAGAGCCUCUAAUUGCUAUUCCAACACCAAGGCUACCAAAUUCAGAUCUCUACCAGUAAGAUCAAAAUGGUUUUGAUAAUAUUAUUUCCCAUUGUAUUGGAUUUGAAGUUCAAUCAUAAUAAAAUAUUUUAAUAAAAUGUCCUCGGUUGCUAAUUUUUCAAUAGUAUAAUCUGCACCUGUCUUUUAUAGCAAUUUGGUCUAAUUUAUUUUUGAAUUAAAAUCCAUAAAUAUUUAUAUUUUUUUAAUUAUAUUAGGAAUUAUGUGGGGUGUAUGGUCUGAUCUUCGAGCUAUGCCUUGAAAACAAAUUAUGCAUAGUCGUGCACACGCUUUCCCUAAUUAAGUUUGUGGUUCGUGCUCAAGGCACAGCAUUCACCCCCCGCGACCCAACAAUCGCUACAUUGUUCCCCACCUAAAGUGCCAACAUAUUGCAUAAGUAACGCAAAAUAUGGUCCCCAAUGGAAAACGUUGCGCAAAUUAUUUCUGGGCAAGAUGAUAAGUAACGCAAGCCUUGAUGCUUGUUAUGGUCUAAGAAAACAAGAGGUUAAAAAUACUAUCAGAGACAUAUAUAAAACAACAACAGAAAAAAUUGGCAUUAUCAUCGAUAAUGGUGAGUUGUGGAUUUCAACUUUGGUAUGUUUAAUUCAGAACCCGCAGUGGGGUGGCGCUAGCACGCCUGCGUUAGGAGACGAGGGGACCAAUCUUGGGGCCGAGCUAAAAUAUAGGCUUGUAGAGCUCAUGCUGCUAAUGGUAAUGGGAACACCUACUAUUUCGGAUACUUUUCCGAUGCUGGUUUAAUUCAUGGUUUAGAAAGGAGAACAAAGAAGAUUUUUCGAUGCUUUGAAAAUAUUAUAAUUUUUAUAAAAUCUCUUAUUGAUAACUAAACAACUAAAAUUUCUGUAAAGUUUUUGUGGACUUUUGAUCUCCUAUGGUGCCAAUAUUUUCGACUAAUUUUUUCCUUCAAUUAAUGAUGUUGGUUGAGAAAGACUAUUUUUCUUGCAAUAAUAUAGUAUUCGUGGUCCUAUUAGGGUUCCGAAUGGAGAAAGUUGCACUAAGUUUUUUGAGUACCAAAUGAUGAGUAAUGUACGUAAGCCUUGAUGGUAGUUAUGGUCUAAGAAAACAAGAGGUUAAAAAUACUAUCUGGGAUUUGUACAACAAUAACAAAAUUGGCAAGCCCAUUGACAUUGGUGAAUUGUCAGUUUCAACCUUGGUAAGUGUUUUCAGAACAUGCUGUGGGGUGAAGCGCUUGGAAUAAGAAAGAAACGGAUGACGAAUAUUGGGGCUGAGCUUAGAUUUAAACUUGCAGAACUCAUGGUGCUGUCAGGAACACCGAAUAUUUCGGAUAUCUUUCCAGUGCUUUCAUGGUUUGAUAUACAAGGUUUUGAGAGAAUAGCAAAGAAGAUUUCUCUAUGGUUUUAAAAUAUUAUCAAUUCUACUGUUGAACGCUAUAGAAACAAGGUCUCAGUUGUUAAAAGUGAAGAAGAAGACGCAGCAGCAGCAGCAGCAGGGAACAACAUUGAAGGAAGGAAUAAGGACCUGGUGCAGUUACUCUUGGAGCUUCAAGGUAAAGAAGAAAAUGCUUCAUCAAUUAACAUGACGCAAUUUAAGAGCUUGCUCGUGGUAUGUUUGCGCAACUAGCCACAGACAGUUACAGAAACUGAGUUUGGCAGAUUACGACCGUUUCUGGUGAUUAUAUAACUAUUUGUGGCUGUUUUUUGUUUUUUUUUUCUUUUAAUUGGAAUUUUAUUGUAAAUUUCUUAACAGGAUAUAAUUUAGGGUGGAACCAACACCACAACUAUAAUGGUGGAAUGGACAAUGGCAUAAUUGAUACAGCAUCCACAAGUAAUGGAGAAUGUAAAGGUAGAACUAAGUCGGGCCGUGGCCAUUGACAGCCAUGUUGAAGAAUUUCACCUACCUAAGUUAAAAUAUUUAGAUGUUGUGGUGAAAGAAACAUUCCGCACGAUAAUAUAAUAUAUGAAUCAUAUAUCCUCUAUUGGUUUUUUGCUCCUUUUUUUUUCAAUAGCUUAAUCUAUCAUUAAAAUCUUCUGAAAUUCUAAAUUAAUAUACAUUCAACCUAGAGUUCAACCCAAAGUUUUAUUGAGCAUUAAAAAAAAAAAUUCUACGACUAAAAAUUUUACAGAGUAUAAAUUAAAAAUUAUGCGCCUACUAACAGACAAAAAACAAUUGAUACACAUUCACCAAUCAAAGGCAAACAAGAGAUUAUUAACAAUAACUUAAUAAUAAAAUUAUAAGGAAUCAAAUAGAAAUGGUACCUAGAAACACAUCACGCCAUUUAAUCAAUCACUUACCCAUAAAAUCCAAACUUAUAAACUAUUAAGGGGGGGAAAUGGAUACCUUUGGGUUUCAUUAAAUCAAAAUUACAACACCAUUAAAUACUCAAAAAUGAAAAAAAAAAAAUCAUACCCAAUAAAAGAGAAAAAAAUAACCCACAAAAAAAAUCAUCAAGAAAAUAAAUUUGAGACUAAGAGAAGAUAUUAAUUAACGCCUGGGUUGCAUUGGAACCACGGCUUUGGCUUCCAUUUUUCAAUUCUUGGUCACAAGUGAUUUCUUGUUUGUUUGCAAUGAUGACGGUUGAUUAAUGAAGCUCUAUUAACAAUGAAUGAAUCAAAAAACUUGAGCCUUGAAAAGACUAACGGUCAUAUUUUUCAACUCCGAAUUAGUGGCGUUUGAUGAGUCCUUGCCAAAACAAUCACUCGGCAGAUAACGAUCAUUUUUCAACCAGCAAAACUCAUUCAUUGUUUUUCACCUUAGUGAAGAUUUAAAAAUUGUUUCAAAAUAGGAUUCUUAAAAAAAUAAUAAUAAAAUGAUAUUUAACUUAAUUCUAACUUAGGAAAACAAAAUAUCUACACUCCCAAAGUUUGGAGAAAUGGUCAUUAAUAUCCCCAACUUUCCAAAAAGAGACACCAAGAACCCUUUUAACCAUAAUACUAUUUACUUCUAUUAUCCCAAAAAACAAUUGACUCUAAUAUUUUAUAAUAAAUAAAAAUAUAACAUUAAAAUAAAUGUAAUAGUAUAUACAUUUUAAAAUAGUUUCAAUAUUUAAAAAGCAUUUUAAUAUUUUUAAAUUCUAUUUUAUAUAUAUUGAUUAUUUUAAAGUAAAUUUUAUAAUAAAUAGAAUCAUAAUAUUAAAAUAAAUGCAUUAAAAUUUAAAUUAUUUUGAAUAUUAUGUAAAAUAAUAAUUUUAACAUUAUUAGUAUAUGAGAAUUUUUUUAAUUGUAGAAUGCAUUUAAUGCAAAUAUUUAUUUAAAAUCUCUACAAUAAAUAAAAAUAUACUAUUAAAACAAAACUCUACAAUACAUACAUACAUACAUAUACAUUGGCCUGGUAUUUUUAUUUUUCAUUUUUAAACUUAUUAAAUCCUCUAACUAUCAUUUGAUUUUUUUUUUUUUUCAAUGAUCAAGAGGUCAUUGCCGGAUAAAUGAUUAAAAUCAACUAGUUCUACAAGAAUAUCUCUUUUUAAAGGAAGAUGAUUCUCUCUCUCGAAAUUUUUUUAUCUCGUGCUACAAACUAAAAACUUAUGCCACUUCAUUAACCACAAAGAUCUUUGAGGAAAUGAUGCUUCCCUCCCCCCCCCCCCCCCCCCCCCUCCCACAAAAAAAAAAAAGAGUCCUUCCAUAUUGUGUGAAGGCUAAUAUAUCGAUGAAUCUAGAUUUCUUUAAAUUUUUUGUUUUACUCAAUUCGAGAUAAUAAUUCAAUCCAUGCAAAUAUCUAUCAUUGUAUGAGCUGACCAGUUAAUAGGUUGAUUGAAUAUAUGUGGUAAAGAUUCCACGUAUCUCAUGACAGAAUGCUGACCACUGGAACCCUAUCUACUUUUACGCGAUUAAUUCACGAGCUUAGGCACAACAAUUGCAAUACAAAUUAUCCCCUCAUCGUAUAUUUCGUUAAAAUUCAUUCUGAAGCAGUAAAACUAAACAAUCGAAUAUGGCUUUGCGGGUCGAUGAUGCCAGCAGCAAUGAGAGUGCAAUUAUCACUUGUUUAGUUUCUGUGCUUGCCGUGGCUUAUUUCGCAUGGAAUGUGAAAAAAUCAAGGAAAGCAAAUGCUAAACUGCCACCAGGAACUCGCGGCUUGCCUGUAGUCGGAUACCUCCCAUUUCUCGGGACUACUGACUUGCACAAGAAAUUCACGGA
rnacentral:lncRNA from 1 species